UUUUUUUUUUUUUUUUUUUUGGGGUGUUGGGGGGGGGGGGAACGGUUUGAAUUUGCAAUGGCUAUCUCGUUGUGUAUGCAUGCACCAGAUUCAUAAACUUGUCUAACCCAUAAUUCACUCCUACCAAUUAACCAGGCAUGCAAAUAGACAAAUGGUCAUUCAUUCAGUCGUCAAAUUCACAUGUAAAAAGUUAGCAUUUUUCUUCGAGUAUGUGGGAAAUGUUAAAAUUAAUAAACAUGCUUAUGUUCUCCAUAUCAAUGGUUAGCUUCACCUAGCAGGAAUUUUUACUACUUACAUCAUAAUAUAGACCAAGUGCCGUGUACCUGUGGUAGCCCUCUGAAACAAAGUAGAAUGUUGCAAAAAGAUAGUGCCCAAUGGAGUCAUUUGGCCAUACCUUCACAGAGAUAACCCAGAUGGUUGUGAUUCAUGUCCUUUUUGCCUUGUUCUCCCUUGCGUUGUCAAGCUUCAGCAGGUAAUUGAUUUUCUUAUUGUACCUUCAGAUAUUCUGCUUGUAAGGUGCUCUAAGACAUUUGAGUUAUUAAAAGAAACUGAUCCAUUACAAGGGCCAACUGUAGCUUUCCCAGACAGUCGUUUCACUUAUGAUAUGAAUAUACAGAUUGGUUUAGGAUAGAGUGUUCAUCAAUUAAUAACAAAAGUAGUGGUAGCUUCAGGAUUCAUCAAGUGAAUUGAAUAAUAGAAAAACCUCCCAUCGUACCCAUGUUUUUUUUCCCAGACGUUUGCUUAAUAUAUAUAUAUAGACUAUUAUAUAUAAUAUAAUAGAAGGUCCUACUUUUCAGUUACUCUGUCAGGUAGAAGUUUAAAGCUUCACAUUUUAUUAGCCUCUAAUUCUUGUUUACACAUUUUUUCAUAACUUGACUGCAUCUAGACUAUAGUGCCAAAAAUUCGCACGUGCUCCUCAAAGUUUCCAGUGUAUGCUUUACUGGCUCCUGGUCAAAAAUUCCAAGGAUCUUGAAUGCUACUUGUAUGCUGAAAUAAACUUUAGCAAGUCGUUAUCUUUUCUUCUUUUCUCAAUUUUGUUGUUUUUUUGGGUUUCUUCUUCCUUAUGGGGUGCUCAAUGGGAUCGGGCACUGUUUUGGUUUAACGGAUGGAACUUCACUCUGUUGUUUUGGAAAAGAAAAGAGAAAGCUACUCUGUGGUUGAUGUUUUAAAAUAAUAUAUGGAAAUCAGAAUUUUACUUGGAAGCAAUGUUAUCUGUUAAGUUUUGGUCUUUAUUGGUCUUAGAAUAAAUUAGUUGUACUUAAAUGUUCUUGAUAUUUUGAAAUAGGACUUGCAGGUAAUGUCCCUGCAAUGAAUUGGCUCUUUGCACCAUAAUGGAUGAAGAAUCUACACUUAGCUCUAAACACUUCUAAGAGUUGAGACAGCUUGUCAUUGCCCUCUUAUUCUUUUAAUGUUUUUCUUUUGAGCAGAAUGCUGGACAUACUUGAAAAGUUCCUUAUACGCAAAGGCUGUUGCUUUUCAAGACUUGAUGGAUCUACUCCGACUGGAGUACGCCAGUCUCUUGUUGAUGACUUCAACUCAAGUCCAAGCAAACAGGUUAGUUUUGACAUUUGGAGUCAGUUUUGAUACUGUGAGACUCAAUUUUGUAAUUUGACAUCUUAAUUGCAGGUCUUCCUCAUAUCAACUCGAGCUGGUGGGCUUGGACUCAAUCUUGUUAGUGCAAAUCGUGUAGUGAUCUUUGACCCAAAUCGGAAUCCUGCCCAGGAUUUGCAGGCACAAGACAGGUCAUUCCGUUAUGGGCAGAAGCGGCAUGCCGUUGUUUUCCGUCUUCUUGCAGCCGGUUCUCUAGAGGAACUAGUUUACACCAGGCAGGUUUACAAGCAACAAUUAGCAAAUAUUGCUGUUUCCGGGAAAAUGGCGAAACGUUAUUUUGAUGGCGUGCAGGUACUGUUGCUGUUUUUCUGAUUCUGUGCACAGUUGUCUUCUUAUAUCAUAGUUGUGAUCGUUAAGACUUGGGGGUCCUUGAUCCCUCUUUUCAGGAUUGCAGAGAAUUUCAAGGAGAGCUGUUUGGCGUCUGCAAUUUGUUCCGCGACCUGUCCGAUAAGCUUUUCACCUGUGAAAUAAUUGGAAUUGCAUGAAAAGCAAGCAAUAGAGCAUGGAGAUUGUGAGAGUUCAAAGCAGAUUUUUAGUGAACUUCAGAAGUGUUUUCUUCCACAGAAGGAAUUAACAAAUACGUCUGUGGAAGCAUCUCAGAACAGCAAACCUAAAGAUGCAAGUAAAGAAACAGUCGAACCAGUACUUGAAGACUUGGGUGAGUGUAUUAUUGUCGACUUGGCUUUGAAAAGUUUCUCCUCCAGUUUUUUCAUUAGCAAAAAUGCUAUAGAAAAUGCUGCCUCAUCCAAGAUGAGGAAAAAGAGCCUGUAUAGCCUCCUUGCUCAGUUCAUGGGUAUGGAGGAAGUAGAAUUCAGCAAGUGGUUGCUUUCAGCGAAUCCAGAAGAACGGGAGAAAGUGCUCCGGGACUAUAAGAGGAUAAAGGACAAGAUUCCAAAUGGAUUAUAUCUCUCCUCAUCAGGAAGGCAGAGUUUUUGUAAUGUAAAUUGUCCAUAGAUCAAUAAAUCUUUCCCAAAAUAUGGAAGUCGGUUGCUGUAAUUUCUUCAUUUGGGACUUUAGCCGUGAGUCGCUGUAUGCAUUUGUUUACUGACGUCUGGGUUAAUUCUCUUCAUCCGUUAAUCUUCUUGGUAGUUUUUUCAGAGCAUACUAAUUGAUGCACUUGGAAGACAAGGUUGAAACUCUCUCUCUCUCUUACAAAAACAUAUACAUAUACCUUCUAGUGCGAAAUUCAGUGAUAUCUUCUUCCAAAAAAAAUUAAGGAAACUGAAGUUUCUGGUGUUCAGUUUAUAUAGCACCGUAAGUGUUAAAUUUUCAAUCCUAUCAUUACAAUUCUAUGAUUUUAUGACACAAAAUUGCAAACUCCGGUCUAAUGCUGGUAGGAUUGCUAAUGUAGAAUGUUAUUUGGAGCAUUGCACUCUCGCGAUUUAUGUCUAUUGGACCAUAUAUGUUUUGAUACUUGGGAGUCCUGGAUUAGACCUAAUUCUAUAUCUGUGGAGCUUAUCUUGGGCUCCUCCUGUUGUGUUGUGGAUGGAAAUUAUACAGCCAAAUGCUUUCGUGAUGCUUCCAUGGGAAUUUAUAUUCUUGCCCCUUUUGAUUCUGUUAUCAAGCUGAUUUAUUUCCAUCAAUUCUUUCAGAAGAUAAUGGUAAUUUCUUUCACCGGAGACUAGGGAUCAAUGGAAGAUACAUGCUGCUACAUUGCUUUGUUCAAGAAAGAAACAAAGCUUUUCUUUUUUUCUUACUAGAUUACAAGUGUAGUAGUAACUUUACCCAAAUACAUGAAUGUUGCCACGAAAACAAAAAGUUGGUUUGGUCCUACCUCAACAAACGUCUAUAGAUUCAAUUAUUUCAAUGGUACCCACAAACCGUGUGGUCCAACUUGGAAGUCUUUGCUUGGAGCAGUACUUUUCUAGUUUUCCAACUUGGAAGGAAAUUUCGUUUUGGAAAAACAUGAAAUGAAAGAUAAGUAAUGGAUUCCGUGCUUUGUGACGCUAGCUUUUGAAUGUUGCCCAUCUCUGGCUGCAAAAAAUAUAUAGUUCAACUAUUCAACUUCAACCAAAGCACUUCACCUUCAUCUGUUAAAGAGUUUCACUGAAUAUGGCUGAAGCUGCACUCAGUUGUGUUAGUGUGAUCUUGAAUAAGAUACUUCCACUUGCUGCCGACGAGGUCAGCCGGGUAUGGGGUGUAAAGAAAGACCUUGAGAAGCUUGCCAAGAACGUAGAGAUGAUGGAAGCUUUGAUUUUUGAUGCUAAAUGCAAGCAACCAACAAGCAAAGCCGUGCAGCUCUGGCUCAAAAGGCUCCAGUCCAUAGCACGUCAUGCUGAGAUCGUGUUGGAUGACUUCGGAUAUGAAGUUCUGCGGCAGAAGGUCGAGAAUCGGAAGCGCGACAAGGUACGCAACUUCUUUUCUUCCUCAAAUCCUAUUUCCUUUCGUUUAGAGAUGGCUAACAACAUCAAGAAUGUUAGCGCAUCUCUAGAGGAAGCUUACAGAGAAGCAAAUCAAAUAGGGCUUCAUCCAGCUCAACUACCCAUGACAUCUGCUGAUCACAAAGAGGAUCGGUUGACUGUUCCUUUUCUGGACGAGUCAGAAAUGGUGGGAAGGGAAGUUGAGGUAUCUCAAGUUGUGAGCAUGUUAAUUAGCUCAGAUUAUAAGAAGGAUUUACCUGUCAUCUCAAUAGUUGGGAUGGGUGGCCAGGGUAAAACAACCCUUGCACAGCUGGUGCUAAAAAAUGAGAGUGUAACGAAGCAUUUUGAUAAAAAAAUAUGGGUUUGCGUGUCUGAUGAUUUCAAAGUGGAGAGGCUGUUGAACGAGAUGCUUCAAUCCCUCGGGGAAAAGAAUGCUGAGACGACAAACAAGGAAGCAUUGGUGAGGAAGCUUCAAGAAAAUCUGAAAGGUAAAAGUUGCUUGCUUGUGCUUGAUGAUAUUUGGAAUGACGAUCGAGAGAAAUGGGAUCGCAUGAGGAUAUGUCUGUUGGCAAUAGGGGGUGCUCCAGGAAGCAAAAUAUUGGCUACCACACGUAGUGAUGAGGUAGCCUCAGCAAUGCAAACAUCUGGUGUGCAUCAUCUAGACAUCCUCUCAGAUGAUCAUAGCUGGAUGUUGUUUGAAAAACUAGCUUUUGCAGAUGGUGGUGCAAGAAGGACUCAAGAUCUGGUGGACAUUGGCAGAAGGAUACUGAAAAAGUGCGGCGGCGUGCCAUUAGCGAUCAAAGCGAUUGGGGGUUUGUUGUAUUCCAAAAAGAAUGCCUCGGAAUGGUUGACGAUUGAGAAGACCAAUAUUGCAAAUGGAGUCAUUUCUGUCCUGAAGCUGAGUUACGAGAACUUACCUUCAUGGUCAGUGAAACAAUGCUUUGCAAGUUGUUCCAUUUUUCCGAAGGACGCUCGCAUGGAAAAACACAGCUUGAUACAGAUUUGGAUGGCCCAGGGAUUUAUUAAUGAUGCCAAGGGAGGAGGUCAUUUGCAAAUGGAGGAUAUAGGCAGUGACUAUUUCAACGUAUUGCUUCGGAGUUCUUUGUUGCAAGCUGCUCCUGAGUACGGAAUCGAGUUCUGCCGGAUGCACGACCUUGUGCAUGAUCUUUCACUGCAAGUGUCAAAUAAUUGUUUCUUAAAUACAGAGGAUGGCAUGGUGGUCAAUCAUGAUGAUGAAGUUAUGCAUUUGACCAUCAUUCGGAGUCGAGGGAAGGUGUUAAAGAAGAUCAAAGGGAUUCCUCCAAAUUUGCAAACGCUUUAUUAUCUUGGGGACGGUGGUAUUAUGCUCAAAGAUAUUUUGGAAAGGUCUAGAUACCUUUCUGUAUUAAAAGUAGACUGCUACGAUGUUACUCAUCUCCCGAAUGCAGUGGGUGAUAUGAAACAUUUAAGACAUCUUGAUAUCAGUGAAACUGUAAUCACCGCUCUGCCAGAUUCGAUCACAAAGCUCUACAAUUUGAUGACCUUGAAAAUACGUUACUUGGAAGAGAUACCUAAGAAGUUUAGCAAUUUAAUUAACUUGAGGCAUAUCGAGUUUUCCAAGGUUCUUCGGGGUCGGUCCCAAUGUUUGUUCCCUGGGAUUGGGCAGUUGGCUAAUCUUCGGACGUUGCCCCACUUCGUGGUAAGCCAAGCCAAGGGAUGUCAACUUGAGGAGUUGGAACACUUGCGCAACCUCGGAGGCGAGUUAAGAAUAUUUGGACUUGAGAAUGUGAGCAAUUUUGAAUCCGCAGCAAAAGCAAAUUUGUCCGAAAAAUCAAGCAUUCAAAGUUUAGAAUUUUCAUGGAAUGGCACGAAAGAAGAUUGCGACGACAACAAUAUCAACGGUGUCAUGAAAGGUCUCCAACCUCACCCAGACUUGAAAAGUUUAGCCAUUAAUGGUUUCGAAGGUUCAAGGUUUCCGUCGUGGAUGGUGGCAAAGGAUCACUUGACGGUACUUCGGAAUUUGGUGCACCUCACGUUGAGAGGAUUGGGUAAGUGUGAACAAGUACCACCACUAGGGGACUUGCCUUGUCUCGAGUCCUUAAAGAUGGUCUUCUUACACAAUGUGAAGCGCAUUGGGGCUGAAUUCUAUGGUCUCGAUAUAAAUGCAAGGAGCAGCACUUGUAGUAGAGAGGUGAAAGCAGUCCCUCUGUUUCCGAAACUAUCGCGUUUUGUGCUGUGGGGCAUGGGAAGUCUAGAGGAGUGGUCAGAUGCAAUGGUUCCCUCGGAUUCUUCUUCAUCAAUUAAGUUAUUCCCUAAUCUCCGGGACUUGACAAUUUCCGAUCUCCCCAAGUUGGCUGUUUUACCGGAUAUGGAGAACUUAACAUCUCUUGCGAAGUUAGAGAUACGGGAAUGCGGAAGUUUGGCUUGCCUAAGGAAUUUGAACAGCCUUACAUCUCUUGAAUCCUUGUACUUAAGUGACUGCCCUGCUUUAUUAGAUGCUUCUCUGGAUAUGAAAAACCCCCAAUCCCUACGUACUCUACGCAUCUCAGGAUGUGAUAAGUUGAGGGUCGUUUCUGAUGACCCUGGUUCUUGGCCAAGUAUGGUUCUCCACCAUCUGGCCAACCUCAGAUGGUUGGGACUCGGUGGCUUCUCUGACGACCUUGAUCAUUUCCCGUGGCCACACUCCAUCACCAAUCUCGUCUCUCUGGAGAGUCUUGAAUUGCGUGGAUGGCCAAAAAUCACGUCUCUCCCAGACCAAAUUCAGCAUCUCUCUACCUUGAGAAGGCUAGAGAUAAGGGAGUUUGAGGGGUUGGAAGUUCUUCCAGAGUGGAUGGGUAGGCUUCGGAAUCUUCGAGAAUUGGUGAUUCGUGAUUGCUCUAACCUCAGACAAUUGCCCUCUGCAGAAGCAAUACGACACCUCACCAAUUUAAAUCAUCUACUUAUCGACAUCUGUCCUCUUUUAGCAGAGAGAUGCACCAAAGGAAGUGGCGCAGAGUGGCCCAAGAUUGCACAUAUUUGCCUUUGUAUCGGUAGGAGACUAUGAAAGUUUACUCUCUCUCUCCCUCUUUUUUUUUUUUUUUUGGAGUGGUGAACACUGCUAUCGACUGGCCGAAAUAUAGACAUGCGCAUGUAUUUUAAAAGAAAAAUUACAAAUGACUAGGAACUGAAUGAAAAUUUUGUUUUCAAAGUGUCCAACUAUAGGUAUUUCCCUUGAGCCAAAAGUAGCCUUGCAAGCGUUGUCAGUCAUUCUGGAUUCCAGAAAUUUUUUAUAGGCUGCGUUUGGAUUGAUGAAUUUGGAUCUGAAGAAGGUUUUGAUAAGGAUGGAAGAUUUAAAAUCCUUUGUAAUCCAAUCAUCUUGUUUGGAAAAGAAAACGAUUUGACUAGAGUAUUUCAAAUUCAUUUUCGAAAUUCGCUGUUUCGAUUAAUUAAUCUCUACCAGAAAUUUCAAAUCCUUGCUCUAUUAAAGAAAGACAAUAAUGUUAUAUUUGAUAAAUUUAUAGAAAUAUUUGUUAUAGUGGCUCAUAUUUUGCAUAUUUAGGAUGUCUAAUCAAACAAUGUAUUUACAGCAAAAAUGUUUUGAAAUUUCUCCGAUUAAUAACACAAGAAAUUUUUCGCUGCUAAAUUCUACAAUUUGUCACUGCUACAGUUGAGGUCUAAACUUCGAACUAAGUAUCCUUUCAAAUGAAAAUCUCAUAUUUCUAACAUCACACCUGAAUCCCAUAAGCUCAUGUACAUGGAUGGCCUUUGGCAGAGAAUACUUUGCAGUGAAGUUGGGGAAAAAAAAAAAAAAAGAGAACUACCGAGAGCAAUUCAAUGAGUUUUCAGAAGCCAUCAUCUUCACUGCAAAAUGCGAAACAUGCAGCCCACCUACACUCUGCCAUAAGUUUGGACAGGAAUCAAGAAAAGAACCAAUUCAUUCUUUUUCUUAUUUUGUUUCUAUUUUGAAAUUAUAGACAGCCAAACAAUUGUAUUGAAAAUAUAACUAUUGCAAACUUCAUUUUAGCCAAUAAGAAACAGCAAAAAUCCUGUAUCAGCACCAAAAAGAAGAAGAAAAAAAACAAUUUCCAUCAAAAACUGCAGAGGGCUGCCCAUGCACCCUAAGCAUAGUUAGUGAAAAAUGUAUUGAAAGGAAAAUCGAGCGAGGAAAAGAAAGGAACAAGUCCAUGGUCUGCAAAUGACUGCUUUUUACCUGUCCUUAUCAUUUGAGAAGAAUCUUAGACAUUAGAAAUAAGAAAAGGCUCAAAGUUUUCCCGCUUUAGCAAGUCCCUUGCCUUACAGUACAGGCGAGGAAAGCAAGAGAUUUUUGAUGUUUUGAAAAACACAUGACAUUGCUAGAAAUGUGUCCAGUUUGCAAGAAAUAGAUAGACUCCAAGAUUACCAAUAUCAAUAAUUUGUUUUUCAUUUUGUAACAAAACAUACUCAUUCAUCCCAUGUAAUUCAUCUUCCGCCCGCAAAGAUUGAAUCUUGAGCUGCUUUUGACAUAUAUUCAGUUGUUGAAUUUUGAUAUUUUAAGCAGCAUAAAUCAACUAAAAAAUGUUAGGAGUUUACCUCCCCUGUCACCGGAAAAUAAUUUCCCAGCACUCCCAAGUUUAAUUUAAAAAAAAAAAAAAAGGGAAUCACAUUACACCAUAUCAAUUUUGACUGCUGCUGUCCAGAAUCACAAUCACUGCAGAAGUUUAGCUAAAAAUUAAGGCUUAAAAAGCUAAUUUCAGCCAAAAAAAAAAAGGAAAAAGAAAAGGAAGAAGAAUGAGAAAACAAAUUACAAAAGUAAAAGGUAAAUCAAGCACGCAUAAAUGAUUCAAAACAACAAAUCAUAAAAUCUCGAAGAGAAAGCACAAAAUUUGGAGAUAAAAAAAAAAAAGACAAAGAAAGCCUAAUCACCAAAAAUCUCACUUGUAGCUCAAAAAUUACAAUCAAGAAGAAGCACUUCAAAUACGACGCUGUCUCGAACAAACAAAUCAAGAGUCGUAUUCACAGAAAUUGGUUGAUUAGAGACACCCUAAUCACUAAAUACGGUACGGGGAAGAAAAAAGACACCAUGAGAAUAAUGAGGAAUUACCAUUCUCUAAGCUGGGAAGACUGAAGAGUAGUAGUAAAUUUCAUAGAGUGCAUGAUACAAAAAUAUGAGUGUAGAGACAGUUGGCGCUCGACUUCUCUUCUUCACAAUUGAAUUCACAGAGGAGUGAGUGGGUGACUCAGUCGUGAUCGAGGAGGAGUGGAUUGCUUUGGGGACAGAGUUUGCCAUAGGUUAGAAAUGACAAUGGAUUUCAAAGGACGCCAUUAGUGGACGGAAUUGAAAUUCCUUGAUUAGGCCGAUACUCAAAUACGUCCAAAAUGUGGGUGAAUUUUAAAUCGUUCCCUUGAAAAAAAAAAAAUAACAAUGGCCGUCUUUAAAUUUUAAAACAUUAUUCAACUUUGCUUGUUUUCUCUGAUUAUGGCUUGUGAGAAAUGGAUUGGUCUUGCGGAUGUUGAUUCUACGGAUGAUAUAAACAUUGUUGUCUUUCAUGGCAUGAACAUCAACCUAUUUUCCAAAAACAUAAAAAAGCGUAAAACUCAUAAUUCUACUUGAGGCAUUUUUCUCAUAUCACUAGCUACUUCCUGUUCAUCCUGAAUCAUGAAACUGGCUUAGUGCUAGGUGCAACAGUCGGUUCCCUUGGGUUUGUCUCCAGAUUAUGGGUGUGCUCCAUGAUAGGGCAUAAAUUAUAGUGUGUUUAUAGGUAUAAGUUGCUAGUUAACCAUAUUAUUUGAGCUUUGUCUUAAAUAGAAAUUACUUAAUUUUGCUUUUAUAUUGUUCUAAUAGGUGAAAAGCUCAAUUGGAGGGAAAACGAACUAAAAGCAUGGCUUGAAGAAUCAAUAGAAAAAGAAAAGUCAAGCGAAAGAGGUUUCGUAGGAAUAAUAUGUUUCAAAAUUUUGGCGAUAACUUGAGUUACACAAAUUAGAUUGAGAUGAUUCUUGAUUCAAUUUGAAUUAAGAGAAUGCUCUACAAAUCUUAUGAGACAUUAUGUCCGGUUCUCACUUUUUCAUAGCCAAAAGUUCAAAUUACUGAAGUAUAUUUGUGCUGCGAAAUUCUUUUGACCAGCACUCAGUAUUUUGGGCAUAUCUCAACAUCUAGGCCUCCAAAUGACAUGAUUGUUGUGGCAUUGGAAAGCUAAUUCAAUGUUUUGAGCAAGAGCUGAUUCAACCUUGAUGAUGGAGAUUUUUGGCCUUGAAAUGGAUCUACAUGUGGAUCCGAAGGGAUCCAUCCGCGAAUCUUUAAUAGCCUGUGCCAAUGUUCACGUUGGAGUUGUUCUGGUCAAGUCAUCCAAUGGAACUCCAGCGCCGGAGUUUAGGCGGCUAUUUGUACUGCUGUUUAUAUGAAAAAUGCACGAAAUUGCCAUUUUUUAGCUCCAAUAAGCCUAAUCCUACCCCGUUUCGGAUAAUACUUUAAGAAACUACAAAUAAGUCCUAUUUAGGACAUUUUGAGGGGUGAAAAAUAUUAGUUUAGAUUAGUUUUAACAUCUUUUCAUAGUUUAUUCUUGAGAAAUCAAGAUCAAAUAGAAGUGAAUCAACAGAGCGUGCAAGGAGAUGAUUGGAGCAAGCAACUAAGAAGUUUUCUUACUCUUUUUCUUAUCUAUGUAGCAACUCUUUGAAUUCGUAAUUUUAAUUUCCAAAUCACGUUGAACUAAAUUAUCUCUAGGAUUAGGGUUUUUAUGAAAGAAUUUGAUUAAUUUUUCUAGUUUAAUCUCUUGCCUUUUUCUAUGAUUUAUCUAUCUUGAUUUAAUUACGUGUUUAUGUUUGGCCACCAUAGACAUGCUCUUAGGGUUUGUGUUGAACUGAGAAACGAUAGACAGUCAUACCCUAGAUAGAUAAAUAUACUUACCCUAAUCACGAAAGUAUAUUAGAAUUUGUAUGACGCAUUUAUAUCACUAAAGUUAUUAAAUGAUUUAAUUGAAUACUUGCGAUUUCGAGAGAGACGUAGGAUUUAAUUAGGCACACUUUAGAUGUAUCGAGAGAUAAUUUAAAAUACAAUUAUGUGAUGUGUCCAUGGUUUGAUAAGAAUUAACUAGAUAAUUUAUUCAAAUUUUAGAUUAAAAUCUGAAACCCUAGGCUCGCAUCUAUUGUUUUCUCACCACUACUCUUUGUGAAUUGAUUAUUCCUUUAUUGUUUAGAAAGAAAAUAUAACUCCAUGAAUUUAAAUUUUUUAGUUUGUUAGAAUAACUAGAGUAGAAAAUUAACUCGUGUGGGUUCAACCCUAGAAUACUCCAAGUUAAUUAUUACUACAAUUGACCCUGUGCACUUGCAAGAAUUCGUCGAUCACUCCACAAUCGAACUAGUAAAAGCCUACAUGCCAUUAACAAAUCGACAACAAGAAUUAAAUUACAUCACCAUUUAACAUAGGGUUAUUAUCACUUUACCCUCUUAAACUAUAUCACUACUAUCAGUUUACCCCCUAACGUUAUCUUUUAGUCACUUCACCCCCAUAAGUAAUUCAACUCAACAUGUUAAAAAAUUUUGGACAAAAAUAUCUUUUUAUUCUAUAGCAUUAUUGCAUUGUUAUUAUUAUUAUUUUUCCUUUAAAUUAUAGUAAUAUAAUCGAUUUAAUUUCUAACAUUAUUUUCUUGGCAUUUUACUUCAUCAUUAAUCUAAGUACUAUGGUCAAAAAUUUUUAAAUAUAUUUACCUUUAUAUAUAUAAUUAAAAUAAAAAAUUUAGAAUGAGUAUUCUUCUUUUUUUCACUUUAAGAGAUCAAAAAAUAUAAAAAUAAAAGGAUUUUUUCAAAUUUUUUUUUCGCACUUAUUAAUACUAUGAAAAGAAAAAGAGAUAGGAAAGAAGGAGACGGAAAAUUAGAUUUUGCAAAGAAAAAAAAUCUAACAUUAUCAUAUUAAUUUAAGGUUGUUGGGAUUAGAAUUGAAAUCUGGUGGUAAACAGUAAAGUGAAAUAAUUUUAAAAUAAUAAAAGUAUUUAAUUCUUGCUAAAUUGGUUUAAUGGUGGGAUAAAUUAUUUAAAAAAUAACUCUAUGUGGUAAAUUGAUAAUAAAACUAUAGUUUAUGGGGGUAAAAUGACAAUAACUUUAAGGGCUAAACUUGUCUUUUUACUUUAAUUAACAAACUCCAUUAAGUUUGACCGUUAGUCUUGCAGGUAAAGUGACUAAAAGAUAACGUUAAGGGGAAAAUUGAUAGUGCCACCAAACGUUAAGGGAGUAAAAUGAUAAUAACCCUUUAACAUAUAGCUGAUGCAUGAAAAACUGUCACCCCAUGGAUACAUGCCUUACUGCUACUGGUACUUGGUUCUGUUGUCUUAAACCCUGUAGGGAAAUCAAAGAAGCACAUAUUAACAGAAGAAUGAUUUGUGUAAAUUCUUCUUGGUUUUCCUUGUGCUUUUGAAGAAAAUCAAAGAAGACCUCUAAAUGUGCACUGGAAGAAGUACAUAUAUGUACUGAGAUUAGUAUUUGUUGUAUUGAAUGUGUUAUAUUGGAGAUUAAUUUGGUUAUAUGUGCUUGUCGUAAAUGAUAGUUUGACCUUGUCUUUUGUAUUAAGAGCUGCUGCAACAUGUUAUGUGUAUUUGUUUUACGUCGAGUGUUUCAACUUUCUACUUCCAAUUUUGUUUUGCACCAGCUUUCCUAAUGAAUUGGUAUUGGCUAUUCUUUUGACGAUUUAUGAUGGAGGACUAGUAAUGAGUUGGUAUUGUUUGUUGUAGUGUAUGGAGAAUGCUUUUCCUCCAUGCUCAUAUAGAUUUAGUUAGUAGGAUUAAUGAAUACAUUUGUGAAUUUCCUAUGAGCUAGAAGACUAUGUCUGCGGUAACAGGUAUUUGAUUUCCUCCACAACUGUUUGAGGUAUUGGCAGAUUUUGGGGUAAUGUCUUCUAUUUGGUGUUUGAACUUGAAAUCUGUGGAAAAGUUUUUUUUGUUCUUCUUUUUCAGAAAUGGACGUUUGAAAAUUCUUGAAGUUCUGAUUGUGCAUAUCUUCUGCUGUUAUUUGAAUAAAUUGGUUCCUGCUUCUUGUUUCUUUAUUCCUUCCAUUUUUCUUAUUACUAUUCACUUUUUCGUUCCUUCAUGGAUUUCAAAUUGUUGCAGUGACAGUCAUCUACGUUUUCCCUACCCAACACAUUUGAUUGAGUGAGUCCGACUUUGUGAUGUUUCGGACCAUUUUAUAUUAAUCCUUUAGGCUUAAUGUAUAAGUGAAAAAUGUUAAUUUGCUUUUACAGGUUCCUGCAACUAUUAAUUGCAGACUCUUAGAACAUCAGCGAGCUGGUGUUAAAUUUUUAUAUAAUUUAUGAAGGUGUUUUGGGAGAUGACAUGUGAGUUUAAAUUUUCUUUCCACAUAUUUCAUUUGCUCUUUCCUUUCCUUCUUUGGUAUGCAGUUCUGUCGGUCAUGACAUCCUGUAACUUGUUCAGCCAACCAAAAAAAAAAAAAGGGAAUACGAAAAUUGGAAAUGGUAGAGAAGGGCACAAGUAUUUAGAUAGGUUAAUUAGGAUACAAGAAAAGCACCAAAAAGAUGCUUUGGCAUCACUCUUGGAUUUUUUUCACUACAAGUAAGAUUUGAACCCUUGGAUUUUUUUCACUACAAGUAAGAUUUGAACCCUCACCUACAUCCAGGAAAGAACUUAAGACCCUCCUUGAUGGCCACUGAGCCAAGCUUAGUGGUUAUAUAAAUAAACCAAAUUUUGCUAGUGAGACUAGUAUAUUUUGCUUCUGCGUCCUCUUACCCGCUCUACAUUGGUUAAUUUGAAAUGAUUUUGCGGCACUAGACUUGGAAAAGGCUUACUAAGGGGUAUUGUCUGAUAAAGCGGUAUCCAACCUUCUCAUCAAGCAUUCUUCUCUUUUUACAUUGCUUCUUUGUUAUUAUCAUUACUAUAUAUAAAAAGUACCAUGAGCCUUGAUACCUUGGAGUGCGAGUGUAAUUUCUGUUGUGAUCUUACUUUCUAUUAUUUCAGUUAUGCCCUUAUUAAUUUGUGGUUAAAGUUUCGUAUAAUCUUAAUUGUAGGUGAUUUAGAAGAAAAUAAUGGUUGAUUAUUAAGGUCACUAUAUUAUAUCGUACCAUAUUGAUUUGGAAAGAAACAUCUCCUUAAGGCUAUAAACAAUCAAAUGAUUUGAGAAACAUUUGCUGGAUGAAUUAUAUAAGUUGUACACAUCUAAUUCAGAAGGAGAAGAAUUUUAAUGUUCCACCCAAUGGAAUUUCAAUAUACAAAAAGUUAUAACAACUUUAUAAUUGAAAUAGCAAUAUUAAACUGGAAAAAAAAAAAUCUGAAGUAGAACCAUACAAAUCAUUAUUAUCAUUAGUAGCAACCCCUCAAAACACGAAAAACUAAAAGAAAAAGCUGAAAACAAUUCAUAAAAUAACAUAAAGUGAAUAAUAAAUACAUGAAAAAGCUGAAAAUACAAUUCAAAUAAUGCCAAAGAUAAUAUCCAAAUUAAUCACUGAUAUCCUAAGGAAGACAAGCAUUUUUAUUGGCAACAAAAUAUAAUACUUCAUUUGUAUUGGUUUAAAUAUACCAAGUCCAUCUAUCAAGUCAUGCAGAAGCUAUCUCCAAUGAUAAAAUAAGAAUUAUAAUAAGAGUAAACUUAAAAUGAAGACGGAUAUCCAAAUUAUUUUUUGUGAUGCCCAAAAUACCCUUAUUUUUCUAAUGAUUACAUAUAUUUAUUAUAUUGCAAUAUUAGUGAAAAAUGGUAGCAGUUAUGAAAUGAAAAACUUUAAAAUAAAGUAAAUUUCAUUUAUGGUGAUAAUUGUAAUUAGACAGAUUUAGUACAUUUUAUUAAUUGACAAUAAUGGUAGAGGUUAUGGAUUACAAGCUGGCAAUUGAAAAAAAUAAGACACUGUAAUAUAUUAAAAAAUUUAAUUAGCUAGAAUUCGCAUUCCAAUUCCAUGAUCAACAAAAACACUAAUACUGAAACCAAAAAUAUUGUGCUCAUAUAAAAGUAGACUUGUUCCUUUUGUUUUGUAUUGGAUUGUGCUAAAAAAUAUGAUUAAAAGAAAAGAAAAAUGGAAAAAAUCCAACUAUCUCUAUCUACUAAAUUUCAAUUGUCAGAAUGUGCAGAUCGAAAAAAGCUUUAUGUGGUGGAUUAUUUAUACUCCAUUAUUGAUAAAAAUAACAAUAAAAGAAUAUAAAGAAUUCAAGUUACAUGUAUAUUUAUUUUUUUUGGCUAAAUUGUAUUCUUUGUUUAUAAAAAAUUGUGACGAUUGUGAUUUAUAUGUAAUAAAAUCAUAAAUAUACAACAACUUUAUUAUAAUAUGAUAUUAUCAAUAUUUGAUAUGUUAGAGUUCAAGCAAUAAAUCAAAUAAUGUUUGGUUCAUGAUUCUAAAUUAAUCAUAAGGGACAUAUUAACGAUACUGGAAUGCUUUUUAUCUCUUUCCAUUUAAUAAAAAUUUUAAAAGUAACUAACUAAAGAAAAAAAAUAACAGAAAAACAUACUAUAUUUUUCACAAAUUUUUAGUAUCCAAAAAAUAAUAUAUUUUUGGAUAUUAUAAUCACGUGCAAAGCACAUGAAUUAUUACUACUAGUUACUAUAAAGUUUUCAGAAUUGUGUGAUGAAGAAUGUAGGUUCUUAAGUUAGUACUGAAUCAUCACUUUCGUAAAUCCCAUUGAACUUGCUAACUUAAUCAUCAAAGUUUGGUAAAUCCCAUUGAACUUAGUGUUACUCCUAAUUAUCUUCUAAUGUCAUUUUCUUUUUCUGAGUCAAAAACUCUUGUUUAUCAGGGGAUUGGGCAAGACAAUCCGGACAAUUGCAUUUUUAGCUGCUGUUUUUGGAAAGGACGAAGAAGCUGAUAACUUAACAUGAUUGAGGGGAAAUCGGCCUGAGAAGACUGGCUGUGUUCUAAUUUUUUUGUCCGACAUCUGUUAUUCACAAUUGGGAGAAUGAAUUUUCUAAGUGGGCACCGUUCUCUAUCGCUGCUUAUCAUGGAACUAACCGUGAUUUAAUAAUUGACAAACUAGAAGCUUGAGAAGUGGAGAUAUUGAUAACUAGUUUUGACACCUACAGCAUUCACGGUACUAUAUUGUCAAAAGUUCAAUGGGAGAUAGUGAUUGUUGAUGAGGCACACAUGCCAAAGAAUGAGAAGUCAAAACUCUACAGAGCAAUUUCAGAGACUAAAACCCAGAAACGAUAUGGUUUGACAGGAACAUUAAUGCAGAAUAAACCAAUGGAAUUGUUCAAUUUGUUUGAAUGGGUAGUACCCUGUUGCGUAGGAACACAUGAACAUUUCAAGGAGUUUUUUGAUGAACCUCUCAAGCAUGGCCAAAGGCCAAGUGCCCCAGAAAGAUUUAUUAGAGUUGCUGAUGAGCGAAAAGAGCACUUGGUGACAGUAUUACGUAAGUAUUUGUUGAUGAUGACCAAGAAGAAAACCGUUGGGCAUCUUAUGAUGGGAAAGGAGGAUAAUGUUGUAUUCUGUGUCAUGAGUGAGUUGCAGAAACGGGUAUACCAGAGAAUGUUACAGCUACCUGAUAUCCAAUGCCUUAUUAAUAAGGACCUUCCAUGUAGCUGUGAUAGCCCUCUGAAACAAUUAGAUAGUGCCCAAUGGAGUCAUUUGGCCAUGCCUUCACAGAGAUAACCCAGAUGGUUGUGAUUCAUGUCCUUUUUGCCUUGUUCUCCCUUGCCUUGUGAAGCUUCAGCAGGUAAUUGAUUUUCUUAUUGUACCUUCAGAUAUUCUGCUUGUAAGGUGCUCUAAGACAUUAGAGUUAUUAAAAGAAACUGAUCCAUUACAAGGGCCAACUGUAGCUUUUUUACCUUUAUUUUUCGGGUAGAAUGCAUUUUUUCAUGGUCAAUAGGAUGACAGGAGAUGGCUGACUACCACCACUUACAGUUAUAUCUUAUAAUCACUCGAGCAAGGCCAUGUGGCUACCGUUUCGCUUAAGAUAUGAAUGUACAAGUUGGUUUAGGACAGAGUGUUUAUCAAUUAAUAACAAAAGUAGUGGUAGCUUCAGGAUUGAUCAAGUGAAUUGAAUGAAAGAAAGACCUCCCAUCAUACCUAUGUUUUUUCCCCCAGAUUUUUGCUGCUUUAUAUGUAUGUGUAUAUACAUAUAUAUAUUUAUAUCUUUAUUUAACACUUGUCUGAUAGGUGAGUGAUCACUUAGAGCUCAUCAAACCAAAUCCAAAGGAAGAUCCUGAUAAACAAAGGAAAGAUGCAGAGUUCGCCGCUGCUGUAUUUGGUACAGACAUUGAUUUGGUGGGAGGACAUACCCAGGAUAAGAGUUUUAUGGGUCUAAGUAAUGCCAAACAUUGUGGUAAGAUGAGGGCUCUGGAAAAAUUAAUGUUCUCAUGGCUUUCCCGGGGUGACAAGGUCCUACUUUUCAGUUACUCUGUCAGGCAGAAGUUUAAAGCUUCACAUUUGAUUAGCCUCUAAUUCUUGUUUAUGCAUUUUUUUCAUAACUUGACUGCAUGUAGACUAUAGUUGCAGUUUCCCUUCUCACGUGCCAAAAAUUCGCACGUGCUGCUCAAAGUUUCCAGGGUAUGCUUUACUGGCUCCUGGUCAAAAAUUCCAAGGAUCUUGAAUACUACUUGUCUCCUAAAAUAAACUUUAGCAAGUCGUUAUCUUUUCUUCUUUUCUCAAUUUUGUUGUUUUUUUGGGUUUCUUCUUCCUUAUGGGGUGCCCAAUGGGAUCGGGCACUGUUUUGGUUUAACGGAUGGAACUUCACUCUGUUGUUUUGGAAAAGAAAAGAGAAAGCUACUCUGUGGUUGAUGUUUUAAAAUAAUAUAUGGAAAUCAGAAUUUUACUUGGAAGCUAUGUUAUCUGUUGAGUCUUGGUCUUUAUUGGUCUUCGAAUAAAUUAGUUGUACUUAAAUGUUCUUGAUAUUUUGAAAUAGGACUUGCAGGUAAUGUCCCUGCAAUGAAUUGGCUCUUUGCACUAUAAUGGAUGAAGAAUCUACACUUAGCUAUAAACACUUCUAAGAGUUGAGACAACUUGUCAUUACCCUCUUAUUCUUUUAAUGUUUUUCUUUUGAGCAGAAUGCUGGACAUACUUGAAAAGUUCCUUAUACGCAAAGGCUGUUGCUUUUCAAGACUUGAUGGAUCUACUCCGACUGGAGUACGCCAGUCUCUUGUUGAUGACUUCAACUCAAGUCCAAGCAAACAGGUUAGUUUUGACAUUUAGAGUCAGUUUUGAUACUGUGAGACUCAAUUUUGUAAUUUUACAUCUUAAUUGAAGGUCUUCCUCAUAUCAACUCGAGCUGGUGGGCUUGGACUCAAUCUUGUUAGUGCAAAUCGUGUAGUGAUCUUUGACCCAAAUUGGAAUCUUGCCCAGGAUUUGCAGGCACAAGACAGGUCAUUCCGAUAUGGGCAGAAGCGGCAUGUCGUUGUUUUCCGUCUUCUUGCAGCCGGUUCUCUAGAGGAACUCUUUACACCAGGCAGGUUUACAAGCAACAAUUAGCAAAUAUUGCUGUUUCUGGGAAAUGGCGAAACGUUAUUUUGAUGGCGUGCAGGUACUGUUGCUGAUUUUCUGAUCUGUGCACAGUUGUCAUCUUAUAUCAUAGUCGCGAUCGUUAAGACUUGGGAUCCUUGAUCCCACUUUUCAGGAUAGCAGAGAAUUUCAAGGAGAGCUGUUUGGUAUCUGCAAUUUGUUCCGCGACCUGUCUGAUAAGCUUUUCGCCAGCGAAAUAAUUGAAUUGCAUGAAAAGCAAGGAAUAGAGCAUGGAGAUUGUGAGAGUUCAAAGCAGACUUUUAGUGAACUUCAGAAGUGUUUUCUUCCACAGAAGGAAUUAACUAAUACGUCUGUGGAAGCAUCUCAGAACAGCAAACCUAAAGAUGCAACUAAAGAAACGGUCGAACGAGUACUUGAAGACUUGGGUGAGUGUAUUAUUGUCGACUUGGCUUUGAAAAGUUUCUCCUUUAGUUUUUUUCGUUGGGAAAAGGUUUGUCAAAGUAUCUAUUAGAACGUAAUAGGCUGGGACUAGUUUGUCACAGUGUAACUUAUGCUGUAAUAUUCUGUUCAGGUAUUGUAUACGCUCACCGAAAUGAAGAUAUUGUUAAUUACGGACCUGGGAUUCAAGGAGAUAAAGAAUUGGAUACGAAUUUAAAGGACACUGUGCAACAUUCGCUUUUUCUUGUUGCCAGGAGGAGGAAAUCAGAAGCAGUAGCAGGUAGCAAAAAUACUAUAGAAAAUGCUGCCUCAUCCAAGAUGAGGAAAAAGAGCCAGUAUAGCCUCCUUGCUCAGUUCAUGGGUAUGGAGGAAGUAGAAUUCAGCAAGUGGUUGCUUUCAGCGAAUUCAGAAGAACGGGAGAAAGUGCUCUGGGACUAUAAGAGGAGAAAGGAUAAGAGAUUCCAAAUGGCUGAUAGCUGCCCUCAUCAGGAAGGCAGAGUUUUUGUAAUGCAAAUUGUAACACUUUUCAGGCCAAAUUAACUCUGGCAGCAGGCGGUAUCCUUCUGGCCUCAUUGUAACAUACUGUAAGAUCAAUAAAUCUUUCCCAAAAUCUGGGACUUUAGCCGUGAGUCGCUGUAAGCACUUGGAAGUUUUUUAAGUGCUUACAAGACAUCUACUUUCUUGUGCUUAAAAGACAAAGUUGAAACUCUCUCUCUCUUACAAAAACAUCUACCUUCUAGUGCGAAAUUCAGUGAUAUCUUCUUCCAUAAACUUAAAAAUUAAAGGAAACUAAAGUUUCUGUUUUUCAGAAGCACCCUAAGUGUUAAAUUUUCAAUCCUGUCAUUACAAUUCUAUGAUUUCAUGACAUAAAAUUGCAAACUCCGGUCUCAAUGCUGGUAGGAUUUCUAAUGUAGACUGUUAUUUGGAGCAUUAGACUCUUGCGAUUUAUGUCUACGUUUGAUACUUGGGAGUCCUGGAUUAGACCUAAUUCUAUAUCUGUGGAGCUUAUCUUGGGCUCCUCCUGUUGUGUUGUGGAUGGAAAUUAUACAACCAAAUGCUUUUGUGAUGCUUCCAUGGGAAUUUAUAUUCUUGCUCCUUUUGAUUCUCUUAUCAAGCUGAUUUAUUUCCAUCAAUUCUUUCAGAAGAUAAUGGUAAUUCUUUCACCGGAGACUAGGGAUCAAUGGAAGAUACAUGCUGCUACAUUGCUUUGUUCAAGAAACAAACAAAGGCUUUCUUUUUCUUUGGGUAAUGUAAUGUAAGCAUAGAGGCACAGAUAAGUUUUGUCACAUGUGCAGAGAUGAUUGAAAAUGCAUUACUCGAUUGCAAGUGUAGUAGUAACUUUACCCAAAUACAUGAAUGCUGCCACGAAAACAAAAAGUUGGUUCGGUCCUACCUCAACUAACGUCUAUGGACUGAAUUAUUUCAAUGGUACCCACAAGCCGUGUGGUCCUGAAUUGGUCGUUGGACAUCAUCUCUAGUCUUUUCUUGGAGCAGUACAUUUCGUUUUGGAAAAAGAUGAAAUGAAAGAAAAGUAAUGGAUUCCCUGCUUUGUAACGCUGGCUGUUGAAUGUUGACCAUCUCUGCCUGCAAAAAAUAUUAGUUCAACUAUUCAAACUUCAAACAAAGCAUUUUACCUUCACCUGUUAAAGAGUUUCACAGUCGAUGGCUGAAGCUGUACUUAGUUUUGUUAGUGUGAUCUUGGAUAAGAUACUUCCACUUGCUGCCGAUGAGAUCAGCCGGGCAUGGGGUGUAAAGAAAGACCUUCAGAAGCUUGCCGACAAUGUACGGACGAUGGAAGCUUUGAUUUUUGAUGCUGAAUGCAAGCAAUCAACAACCAAAGCCACCAAAGCCGUGCAGCUCUGGCUCAAAAGGCUCCGGUCUAUAGCACGUGAUGCUGAGAUCGUGUUGGAUGACUUCAGAUAUGAAGUUCUGCGGCAGAAGGUUAAGAAUCGGAAGCGCGACAAGGUACGCAACUUCUUUUCUUCCUCAAAUCCUAUUUCCUUUCGUAUAGAGAUGGCUAACAAGAUCAAGAAUGUUAGCGCAUCUCUAGAGGAAGCUUACAGAAAAGCAAAUCAGAUAGGGCUUCAACCAGCUCAACUACCCAUGACAUCUGCUGAUCGCAAACAGGAUCGGUCGACUGAUCCUUUUGUGGACGAGUCACAAACGGUGGGAAGGGAGGCUGAGGUAUCUGAAGUUGUGAGCUUGUUAAUUAGCUCAGACUAUGAGAAGGAUUUACCCGUCAUCUCAAUAGUUGGGAUGGGUGGCCAGGGUAAAACAACCCUUGCACAGAUGGUGCUAAAAAAUGAGAGUGUAACGAAGCAUUUUGAUAAAAAAAUAUGGGUUUGCGUGUCUGAUGAUUUCAAAGUGGAGAGGCUGUUGAACGAGAUGCUUCAAUCCCUUGGGGAAAAGAAUGCUGAGACGACAAACAGGGAAGCAUUGGUGAGGAAGCUUCAAGAAAAUCUGAAAGGUAAAAGUUGUUUGCUUGUGCUUGAUGAUAUUUGGAAUGAGGAUCCACUGAAAUGGGAUAGCAUGAGGAUAUGUCUGUUGGCAAUAGGGGGUGCUCCAGGAAGCAAAAUAUUGGCUACCACACGUAGUGAUGAGGUAGCCUCAGCAAUGCAAACAUCUGGUUUGCAUCAUCUAGACAUCCUCUCAGAUGAUCAUAGCUGGAUGCUGUUUGAAAAACUAGCUUUUGCAGACGGUGGUGCAAGAAAGACUCAAGAUCUGGUGGACAUUGGCAGAAGGAUACUGAAAAAGUGUGGCGGCGUGCCAUUAGCGAUCAAAGUGAUUGGGGGUUUGUUGUAUUCCAAAAAUGAUGCCUCGGAAUGGUUGAAGCUUGAGAAGAGUGAAAUAUGGAACGAGUCGGCCAAUAUUGCAAAUCGAGUCAUGUCUGCCUUGAAGCUCAGUUACGACAACUUACCUUCAUGGUCAGUGAAACAAUGCUUUGCAAGUUGUUCCAUCUUCCCGAAGGACGCUGACAUGGAAAAAGAAAGCUUGAUACAGAUUUGGAUGGCCCAGGGAUUGAUUAAUGAUGCCAAGGGGGGAGGAGGUCAUUUGCAAAUGGAGGAUAUAGGCAGCGACUACUUCAACAUAUUGCUUCGGAGUUCUUUGUUGCAAGCUGGUUAUAAGAAUUCCUUUAAUGAAAUCGAGCGCUGUCGGAUGCACGACCUUGUGCAUGAUCUUUCACUGCAAGUGUCAAAUAAUCGUUUCUUCAAUACAGAGGAUGGCAUGGAAGUCAGUCAUGAUGAUGAAGUUAUGCAUUUGACCAUCAUUGGGAGUCAAGGGAAGGUGUUAAAGAAUAUCGAAGGGAUUCCUCCAAAUUUGCAAACGCUUUAUUAUCGUGGGGGUGAUGGUAGUAUGCUCGAAGACAUCUUGGAAAGGUCUAGAUACCUUUGUGUGUUAAUAGUAGACUGCGAGGAUGUUACUCAUCUCCCGAAUGCAGUGGGUGAUAUGAAACAUUUAAGACAUCUUGAUAUCAGUCGAACUGGUAUCACCGCUCUGCCAGAUUCGGUCACAAAGCUCUACAAUUUGAUGACCUUGAAAGUACGUUGCUUGGAAGAGAUACCUAAGAAGUUUUGCAAUUUAAUUAACUUGAGGGAUUUCGAGUUUUCUAUGGAGGAGGACGGAUGUUUGUUCCCUGGAAUCGGGCAGCUGGCUAAUCUACGGACGUUGCCCCCCUUCAGGGUAAGCCAAGACAAUGGAUGCCAACUUGAGGAGUUGGAACACUUGCGCCACCUCGGAGGCGAGUUAAGAAUCUAUGGACUCGAAAAUGUGAGCAGCUUUGAAUCCGCAGCAAAAGCAAAGUUGUCCGAAAAAUCAAGCAUUCAAAGUUUAAGACUUUCAUGGGAUGGCACGAAAGAAGAUUGCGACGACAACAAUAUCAACAGUGUCAUGGAAGGUCUCCAACCUCACCCAGACUUGAAAAGUUUAGCCAUUUGGCGUUUCGAAGGUUCAAGGUUGCCGUCGUGGAUGGUGGCAAAGGAUCACUUGACGGUACUUCGGAAUUUGGUGCACCUCAAGUUGAGCAUGUUGGGCAAGUGUGAACAAGUACCACCACUAGGGGACUUGCCUUGUCUCGAGUCCAUAAAGAUGGUCUCCUUACACAAUGUGAAGCGCAUUGGGGCUGAAUUCUAUGGUCUCCUUGCACAUCUCGAUAUUAAUGCAAGGAGCAGCGCUUCUUGUAGUAGCAGCACCAGUAGCAGAGAGGCGAAACCAAUCACUCUGUUUCCAAAACUAAGGCGUUUUGUGCUGCAGGACAUGGGAAGUCUGGAGGAGUGGUCAGAUGCAAUGGUUCCCUCGGAUUCUUCUUCAUCAAUUAAGGUAUUCCCUAGUCUCCGGAACUUGGAAAUCGAAGGGCUCCCCAAGUUGGCUUUUUUACCAGAUAUGGAGAACUUAACGUCUGUUACGGAGUUGAGGAUAAGGGAAUGCAGAAGUUUGGCUUGUCUAAGGAAUUUGAAUAGCCUCACAUCUCUUGAAUCCUUAGUCUUAGGAGGCUGCCCUGCUUUAUUAGAUGCUUCUCUGGAUAUGAAAAACCCCCAAUCCCUACGUACACUAAGCAUCUCAGGAUGUGAUAAGUUGAAUCCUUCAUUGAGUAAUAAUCUUGAGAAGUUCACAUCGCUCGAGCGGUUGACGAUCCAUUCUCAUGACCCUGGUUGUUGGCCAAGUAUGGUUCUACACAGUCUAGCCAACCUCCGUGAGUUGGAACUCGGUGGCUUCUCUGACGACCUUGAUCAUUUCCCGUGGCCACACUCCAUCACCAAUCUCGUCUCGCUGGAAACACUUGUAUUGCGUGGGUGGCCAAAAAUCACGUCUCUCCCAGACCAAAUUCAGCAUCUCUCUACCUUGAGGAUGUUAGAGAUAUGGGCGUUUGGGGGGUUGGAAGUUCUUCCAGAGUGGAUGGGCAGCCUUCGGAAUCUUCGAUACUUGGUGAUUAUUGAUUGCUCUAACCUCAGACAAUUGCCCUCUGCAGAAGCAAUACGACACCUCACCAAUUUAGAUGCACUGGGUAUCUACAGGUGUCCUCUUUUAGCAGAGAGAUGCACCGAAGGAAGUGGCGCAGAGUGGCCCAAGAUUGCACAUAUUCCCCAAGUUUGGCUGUAACUGUAAGUAGUUAAUAUUUCCAAUGUUCUGUUUUAAUCUCUACUUAUUCAGUUUGUUUAGAAUUCUAUUAGUACUUUUUUUUUUUUCUUAUAUAUAAUCCCCGGAAGGAAAAAGGAAAUAAAAAACGCUACUGCUUCCUUUUAAAUGGCCAUAUCAAUAAUGUCAAAUCCUGACUCUUCCUUCAAUUGCUCUUUACAUUUUCUUUUCCGUAGAUUCUUUCCUCCUCCUCCUUAUCAUUCAUUCUUUUUUUUUUUUUUUAAAGGGUCAGAAUCAAGGCAUCGUCUUCCACGUCGUGAACAGAAAAUGCUCAUCCGUCCGUCACACAAAAAAAAAAGAAGAGCAGUUUUCUCAAACCGCCUUAUUAUUGAUACCAGGUGUCUGCUGAUUGUCUCAUUUAUUAUCUCUCCUUUGAGGUGCAUCUCUGUUUUUGUUUCAAGCUGUAACUUAUGAAGAUGGACACGAACCGGAAAAGUUGAAAGACAGAUUCAUUAAAGUAUUGAUAGACAUUUUCCUUUUUAAAUAGAAAGAUUCAUUACAUUGUCUAAAAGACUUCAAUGCACCAGGUUUUUAGUACUAGUAGUUAUAGUAGUAGACUAGUAGGUAUUUCCCUUGAGCCAAAAGUAGCCUUGCAAGCGUUGUCAGUCAUUCUGGAUUCCAGAAAUUGUUUAAUAAGGCUGCGUUUGGAUUGAUGAAUUUGGAUCUGAAGAUGGUUUUGACAAGGAUGGAAGAUUCAAAAUCCUUACCUUUGUAAUCCAAUCAUCCACUGUUUCGAUUAAUUAAUCUCCAUCUCCACCAGGAAUUUCAAAUCCUUGCUCUAUUAAAGAAAGCCAAUCAUGUUAUAUUUGAUAAAUUUGUAGAAAUAUUUGUUAUAGUGGCUCAUAUUUUGCAUAUUUAGGCUGUCUAAUCAAACAGUGUAUUUAUAGCAAAAAAAUGUUUUUAAAUUUCUCUGAUUAAUAACACCAGAAAUUUUUCACUGCUAAAUUCUUUUGCUCUCAAUCCUGCUAUUUACCCAUCCAAUUUGUCACUGCUACUGUCGAGGUCUAAACUUCGAACCAAGCAUCCUUUCCAAUGAAAAUCUCAUAUUUCUAACGUCACAUCAUUCUGAAUGCCGUAAGCUCAUGUGGCAAACUCCAUCCAAGUUUUGGCUACAUUUUCUUGAAGCGGUACAGAUUCCAAUACAUCACCAUAUGCCUACAGACAACCUUAAGGAAAUGAUGGCAUCUUGAUUGACAUUUUAACAUGAAGAAUGGUUAUUCACUCCGCUUCUUCCUUCUCAGUCACACUACUGAUAGGCUGAAGUAAUAUAUUGCUUUUGAUUGAAUUUGAUUUGUAGAGCAUGGCCUUAGGCGGAGAAUACUUUGCAGUGAAAUAGGGAAAGGAAAAAAACUACCAAGAGCAAUUCAAUGAGUUUUCAGAAGCCAUCAUCUUCACUGCAAAAUGCAAAAACAUGCAGCCCAACUACACUCUGCCAUAAGUUGGAAAGGAAUCAAGAAAAGAACCAAUUCAUUCUUUUUCUUAUUUUGUUUCUGUUUUGAAAUUAUAGACAGCCAAUCAAUUGUAUUGAAAUAUAACUGCUGAGUGCUGAGGGCUGCCCAUGCACCCUAAGCAUAGUCAGUGAAAAAUGUAUUGAAAGGAAUGGUUAUUCACUCCGCAGCAUGAAUCAACUAAAAUGUUAGGAGUUUACCUCCCCUGGGCUGGGAAAUUAGCCCUCCCAAGUUUAAUUAAAAAAAAGGAAUCACAUUACACCAUAUCAAUUUUGACUGCUGCUGUCCAGUAGCACAAUCACUGAAGAAGUUUAGCUAAAAAUUAAGGCUUAAAGCUAAUUUCAGCCAAAAAAAAAAAAAAGGGGAAAAGAAAAGGGAGAAGAAUGAGAAAACAAAUUACACAAGUAAAAGGUAAAUCAAGCACGCAUAAAUGAUUCAAAACAACAAAUCAUAAAAUCUCGAAGAGAGAGCACAAAUUUUGGAGAUAAAAAAAAAAAAAAAAAAAAAAGACAGAAAAAGCCUAAUCACCAAAAAACCCACUUGUAGCUCAAAAUUACAAUCAAGAAGAAGCACUUCAAAUACGACGCUGUCAGGAACAAACAAACAUCAAGAGUCGUUUUCACAGAAAUUGGUUGAUUAGAGACACCCUAAUCACCAAAUAUGGGGAAGAAAAAAGGCACCAUGAGAAUAAUGAGGAAUUACCGUUCUCUAAUCUGAGAUGACUGAAGAGUAGUAGUAAAUUUCAUAGAGUGCAUGACAAAGAAAUAUUAGUGGAGAGAGAGAGAGAGAGUUGGAGCUUGACUUCUCUUCUUCACAAUUCACAGAGGAGUGAGUGGGUGACUCAGUCGUGAUCGAGGAGGAGUGAAUUGCUUUGUGGACAGAGUUUGCGACAGGUUAGAAAUGAUAGUGGAUUUCAAAGGACGCCAUUAGUGGACGGAAUUGAAAUUCCUUGAUUAGACUUAGGCGCCUGUACUCAAAUACGUCCAAAAUGUGGGUGAAUUUUAAAUCCUUCCCUUAAAAAAAAAACUAUGGCCGUCUUUAAAUUUUAAAACAUUAUUCAACUUUGCUUGUUUUCUCUGAUUAUGGUUUGCGAAACACGGAUUGGUCUUAUGGAUGUCGAUCCUACGGAUGAUAUAAAAAUUGUUGUCUUCCAUGGUAUGAAUAUCAGCCUAUUUUCCAAAAAAAAAAAGGCGGCAAAACUCAUAAUUCUGCUUGAGGCACUUUUCUCAUAUCAUUAGCUACUUCCUAAUCAUCAUCCUGAAUCUUGAAACUGGCUUAGCGCUAGGCGUAAUAGUUGGUUCCCAUGGAUUUUUCUCAAGAUUAUGGGUGCGCUCCACAAUCUAACUAGAAAAAGCCUGCAUGCCAUUAACAAAUCGACAUCAAUAAUCAAAUUACAUCAUCAUUUAGCAUAUAGCAGAUGCAUGAAAAACUAUCACCCGAAGGAUACAUGCCUUGCUACUACUGGUACUUGGUUCUGUUGUCUCAACAAAACCCAGUAGGGGAAACAAAAGAAGCACAUAUUAACUACAAGAAACACACAAAACAAAGAAUCAAGAAGGCAAAUUCUCUCCUUGGCAAGUCAACAGCAAAAAAUGCUGUGCAGUCACUUUUACUUGGCUUUCCUGUUUUGCAUGUCUACUCCUCUACCCCUUCUUAUGCGAAGGGAGGAAUAGAGCAUUAACUUGAUAAGAUGCACCACCAAAGAAUUUCAUCAAAUGGUGACAAGGAACAAUUAAUAAUGGUACCACUUUAUUUGUUACAGCGGGACCUGGAUAACAUCCUUCAUUUCAGGAAGCUCCAAAUUAAGCCUUCUCAGUUGGUUUACUGGAAGCUUGAGGUCCACCAUGUGAUGGAUCAUCUGAAAGAAGAAAAUGGCUAGAGGAACUUAGCAAAAAAGAUGAAUUGAAAAUACUGUUAUCAGGAGUAUAAGCCUACAAAUAGCAGUUGGCAAUUCAGAGGAUCACAAGGAUAACAAGCGGACAGCAAAUACGCAGAAUCUACCGCUUGUGAGCAGAAGAAGAAUAAUGCAAAGUGAAUUAAGUUAUUUACUAAAACCCAGACCCAUUCUGAAGAGACAGACCUUUUUGAUAAUCUUAACACAUAUGCACAAAACUCACCUCGAUGCACAGAUAUCACCUUUGAACCAUACACCUGCAUAUCACAGUUGCAAAUUGUCAAAAACAAAAACUCAUACAUCCCAUUAAAUUUUGUCCAGCAAGAAUAUCGCAACGACGAAAACCAAAAAUGGAUGUGUUUGUGUACGUGCGCGCUUGAGGAAAAGAGAGAGAGAGAGGACAUGGUUCCUUCCAACUAAUGCUUUGGAUGGUCUUCCUAAAAUGAUCUGUAAAGUGACUUCGCUACAUGAAACUACUUAAUCAUGUACUUUCCUGGCAAUUGGCAAGUAAAUGAAACUUGGUGUAGUUUCCUCUGCCAUUAUAUGUUCAAUCCAUAAUAUAAAUGGAAUUAAAGUGUAAUCGCUUAACACCCUCCGUAGUGUGAUCUAGAUCAUUCUCACCCUCUUUAUCUUCAUCAUCCUUUUCAGCUUCUUCUUCUUCUUCUUUUUCAAGUUCAGCAAUUCUGGAGAAUAUACGAGCAUAUUCAUCAUCUUGAUUUUCACUUCUAGUAGUUUCGGCCUCAGAUGAACUGGGAAAAUCAGCAUUUGAUUCACCUGAAAAUAUUCAAGGAUUAACAAAAAUUUGUCGACGUUAUAAUGCCAGUUGCAAUACAAUUUUUGUUUACCAAAAGUUAACUAACUUAAAAGAAGGCAAAAACUUCUCAUGAAUGGGAAGCGCUUUUGGAAGAAAACUAAUCAUGAAGGUUAAGAUAGCGAAAACAUUCAGAAGGAGGAAAGGCAAAUCCACACGGUUCUAUAGCAGAAUUUGCAAUGAAAAUGCUGCUAAUCAGUAUCUGCACCAAAGCUCCUAAAAUAAUUUGGACCUGGGUCCUCAGCCCAUUAAACUGGUAUGAUGAUGAAAAAAUUAUCCAUCACUCUCUCCAUGACAUUUUAUAUGGUUUGAUAUGGCCAAAAUCUCACAACUUUUUCUAAACAAUGUCUGACUAAACAAAAUAUUGAAACAUUGACCAGGUCACCCAGCAAUUCGACUAGACAAAGGAAGUUAGUUUUUUGAACACAACAUUAGUCUUUUGAUAUGAAUAACUGGAUUUUUUCUAGACCAGGUCACCCACAUUGUGUUUGGAUUGCUUUUUUCUAGUUUUUUUUAGAAAAAUUACUGUAACGAUUUGAUAUAUGUGAAGUAAAGAGAUGAUAGGGAAAUAUGUUUACGAAAAACAUAGCAAUUACUGUAGCUUUUCUACGUAAAAGCUUUUCCUUUCUCAAUGAAAAGAUGAUUAUUCGCUAUCAUCCAGGAAGCUUGCUUAUUCUUACACGGAGUCUCUAAAUGUCUCGUGUCUAUAAUUUGUAUGAUGAAAUAGAUCAGCCAUGGUCUACAAAAGUUGUUCUUCCUCAGCAACAAACAUGUCUACAAAUCAUUUGAGAUCUUCACAGAUUUUAUCCAAGCUUUGGCACUCUCAUGUCUAGAACUUUUAAAACCUUUAAUUAAAAAAGAAAAAUCCAGACCGGACAUCCUUUGAACAUGUUUUCAACACUUAGAAUCAUGAGAGAUACAAAUUAAAAUUUUUAAGAGCUAUUGCAUUUGAAAGAAACAUUAAACUCACUACCAAGCUCAAAGCAGAUUAUAAUCUUUAUUGACAAGCUAAAAAGAAGAAGACCUGCCUGCCUGCUUUAGAUGCCUCAGCUAUACGAAUUUCCUCCACAUAGUCUUCAACCAUUUCUACAGGAUCAUCCUGUCAAAAUGACUUGAAAAAUUAAGCCAAAUAAUGAUCCAUGUAGUCAACAACGGUGAAUAGAUAUCCAAAGAAGUCCUAGGUCCUCAUUUGCGAAGACAUCUCAUAAUUAUCCCCUAUGGCCCAUGAAGAUAACAUUUUAAUGGCCUAACAUACUACUUGACAAACCUCCCACCUGCAAUAAGUGGGUCAGAAAUGCAACAAAAAACUCUUAAGUCCACAUAGGGUUCAUAAGUAACUUGAUUACAUAAAUUCCGCAGCCACAACCUAUUAUGACUUUUUGCCCAUAAGCAUACAUCCCUGUCAUCCCAAAAUCAUAUAUUACUUUGCAAUACUUGGACAGCGUUACAUCAUAUUGCAAUGCUGCGAACAUCGAUAACUAAGAUAAUUCUCCAACACGCUGGACAGAGACAUCAAAAACACCUAAAAUGAAAUGGAAGCAUACUAGUAUAUUUCUUAUGUCCCCUUUAAAAAGCCUAAAUGAUGCAUUUAUAUCACCCUCCACUAGCCCCAUAUAUAGCUUACGUGACUCUCUCUAAGCCAUUUCAAACAGCACAAACAAGUUAUAAUUAGCAAGGGCAACGAGAUUUUUAGAUCAACUUAAAACAUAUGCUAUCACUUGCUAAUGCUGGAGUAAAGGGACAAAAAUAAAUUUUUGAAACCAAGAUUAUUAAAUUGUAGUAUAUUUAAUCACAUGUUAAGUGCCCAUGCACCAAUGCAGAUAAACAGGCUUACCGCUGCCUCAUUAGCUGUAGCAUUAAAAAAAGAAACUUCAGUUUUAAGGUCCUUAAUGUCAGCCUUGAGAGAUUCAACUUGAGACUCUAGAAUUUUUCCUCUCCUUUCAAAAUUUCAAUUGUUUGUUUGGAUGUUCUUUCUGCGUAGUAUCCAUCUCCAAGGAGAACCUACAAAAGUUAUUGCAUUGAUUAUUCACUUUUCUUUUGAUAGGUAAAUAACUAAGGACAAAUAUCCACUAGUAGGCUAUCACUUCUCUAGAUUCCUUAACCACAAUGUGUACAGAAACCAACGAAGAUCCGGUGCAAAUAGGGCAUCGUGGAAACGAAUUCCUUUAAGUUAUCAGUUCCUACAAUCGCAAAAGCACACUAUAUUACACACCUCUUAAGCGGUAGUAAUCAACAACUUAAAAAUGACCAUCACAUUUUAUAAUUAUCCUGAGGUAGCCACAAAUUGACAUUUCCUUUCCCUAAUGUUUAUAAACAGUACUAAUUAACUCAACAAUCUUUUAAUCCCACAAAGCAACAACUAAGCACAAUUGGGGAAAAAACCCAUCGAAUAACUGAAGUUAGGCAUGUCAAAAGCUCACAUAAAUUCAAAACCAUACAUGAAAAACCUGAAAUCCCUCCACGAAGCAAGAUAAAAUAUAUAUGCAAGGCAAUACCAUAUGAAAACUAAGAAAAAGGGAGAGAAAAUACUUUUCUUCAUAUAUUUGGACUACACAAUAUACAUAUAUAUAUACACAAGUGUAACCUAAUUUAGAUCCUAAAAUCAUGCUAAUAUAAAUCAAUCUACUACCUAAUUAAUAUAUGAUACUAUAAUCAUAUGAUACCUAAUCUUUACAAUAUCAAAUCUUUUCAUAAUAUCAGAUUACAUAUCUUCAACACUCCCCCUCAAACUGGAGCAUAAAUAUUGCUCAUACCCAACUUGUUACAAAGGUAAUCAACUCGAACCCCAUGUAGAGCCUUCGUAAACAGAUCUUCCAAUUGGUCUCCAGUCCUUACAAAUCCUGUAGAAAUCAAGCACUGCUGUACUUUCUCACGAACAAAAUGACAAUCUAUUUCGAUGUGUUUUGUUCGCUCAUGAAAUACGGGAUUGGAUGCAAUAUGAAGAGCUGCUUGGUUAUCACACCACAAUUUUGCAGGCAUUGAGGUUUUGAGACCUACUUCAGUUAGAAGUUGAUUUAUCCACAUGAUUUCACAUAUCGAUUGUGCCAUAGCUCUAUAUUCUGACUCUGCACUCGAUCGCGAGACAACAUUAUGCUUCUUACUCUUCCAUAAGAUUAGGUUUCCUCCAACAAAGAUACAAAAUCCAGUUGUGGAUCUUCGAUCUACCUUGGAUCCUGCCCAAUCAACAUCUGAAAAACACUCAAUCCUAAUAUGACCAUGAUUUUUAUACAGAAUACCACGUCCAGGAGCUCCUUUUAAAUAACACAAAAUUUGUUCUACAGCUGCCCAAUGAUUAACAGUAGGAUUAGACAUAUAUUGACUAACAAUACUAACUGAAUACGCGAUAUCUGGACGAGUCACUGUAAGAUAAUUCAACUUUCCAACCAAUCUUCUAUACCUCCCAGGAUCUUCUAACAAUUCACCUUCUUUUGUGAGCUGCAAGUUAGGAAUCAUUGGGGUACUAGCUGGUUUAGCCCCCAAUUUUUUCGUUUCAGAUAGUAAGUCAAGAACAUAUUUUCUUUGGGACAGGAAUAUCCCCUUCCUACUCUUUGCUACCUCAAUACCCAAAAAAUACUUUAACAGUCCCAAAUCCUUUGUCUGAAAUUGACUAUGGAGAAAAGUUUUAAGAGAUGAAAUACCUGCAGCAUCAUUUCCAGUGAUAACAAUAUCAUCCACAUAUACUACCAAUAAAAUAAUACCAACUUCAGACCGUUUGUAGAAAACAGAAUGAUCAGAUUUGCUUUUCUGCAUCCCAAACCUUUCAACUGCUAGACUAAAUUUUCCAAACCAAGCACGAGGACUUUGUUUCAGUCCAUACAAGGACUUCCGAAGAUAACAAACCUUCCCAGACUUCCCCUGAGCAACAAACCCUGGUGGUUGUUCCAUAUAAAUUUCCUCUUAGAGGUCUCCAUGAAGAAAGGCAUUCUUGAUAUCUAGUUGAUGCAAAGACCAAUUAUGAGUGACUGCCAUAGAAAUGAAUAACCUGAUAGAUGUUAACUUAGCAACAGGGAAAAAAGGGUCAGAAUAAUCCUCUCCAUAGAUUUGAGCAUAGCUUUUGGCAACAAGGCGAGCUUUUAAUCGAGCAACCGACCCAUCAGGAUUGAAUUUAAUUACAAAAAUCCACUUACUCCCAAUGGCCUUCUUCCCUGCAGGUAAAUUUACUAAGUUCCAAGUAUCAUUACCAUCUAGAGCAUUCAUCUCCUCUAUCAUAGCAUUGCGCCAUUCGGGAUGGGAUAGGGCUUCAUGAACAGUUUUAGGAAGGGAGAUAGAAUCAAUAGAUGUAAUAAAGGAACAAGAAGAGGUGGGUAAAUGAUUAUAAGAUACACACGAAGACACAGGAUAAGUGCAUUGACGCUUACCUUUACAAAGAGCAAUAGGAAGAUCAUCACUUGAGACAGGAUCUAGUAACGAAGGAACUGGUUCAGGGCAUGUAUCAGAAGACUUUUGUCGUCGAGAAUAUACCUGAGUAAUUGAAGGUUUAGCAGGGGAAGAACUUGAAGAUGUGACAGUAUAGAUUAACAAAUCAUCAUCCUCCUCGACAUGAAUGAAAUGAGGAUAGGGUAAAAGGUGUAUUUUCAAGAAAAGUAACAUCCACUGACACAAUGUACCGGUCGAGAUUAGGACAAUAACAUUUAUAUCCUUUUUGGACACGGGAAUAACCAAGAAAAAUACAUUUCAAUGAUUUGGGGUCUAAUUUAUUGACUUGGGGACGAGAGUCGCGGACAAAACAUGUACACCCAAAGAUUUUAGGUUCGAUAGGAAACAAAGGUCUAUUUGAAAAAAGAGUAUUAUAAGGAGUCCCAUCAUUCAGAACAGAUGAAGGCAAACGAUUAAUUAGAAAGCAAGCUGUGGACACUGCAUCAGCCCAAAAAUGUUUAGGAACAUGCAUUUAAAAUGAUAAGGCUCUUGCAGUUUCGAGCAAAUAUCUAUUCUUUCGUUCUGCGACCCCGUUUUGGGAUGGUGUAUUCACACAAGAGGUUUGAUGAAUAAUGCCAUUUUGCACCAUAUAAGAUUGAAAGGUGCGAAUAAUUAUUCUUUAGCAUUGUCACUUCGCAAUAUUUGUACAGAACGCUUAAAUUGAGUCUUAACCUCAGCACAAAAAUGAGAAAACAACUCUGACCGAUUUUUCAUUAAAUAUAACCAAGUCAUACGAGAAUGGUCAUCGACAAAAGUAACAAUAUACUUGAAUCCAGUUUUAGAAAUAACUGGACUAGAUCCCCAGACAUCUGAAUGAACUAAUGCAAAAGGAGCAUCCGCUCGUUUAUUGACUCUAGGAUUCAGAUUAACACGAUGAUGUUUGGCAAACUGACAAGACUCACAAUCUAAUAGAGACAAACUCUGAAAUUGUGGACAAAGUAUCUUUAACAACAGGAGAGAAUGAUGACCUAGCCUACAAUGUGCUUCAAAUGGAGUUACAAUUCCAGAACAAGCUAUGGACUUUGGUUUCUGUGUGUCAAGAAUGUAAAGACCUCCAGAUUCAUGCCCUUUACCAAUAAUCUGCUUCGUCGUAAGAUCCUGAAACAAGCAAUAGUCAGAAAAGAAUUGGACAGAACAAUUGAGGGCACGGUAAGUUUACUCACAGAAAUUAGAUUAAAAGACAACUCAGGCAAAUUUAAGACAGAUAACAAUGAGAUUAAUGGAGUGGGGUUAACUGAGCCUGAUCCAAGAAAACGAGAUUUUGACCCAUCAGUUAAGAUAACUGUAGGUGCAGAUGUGUGUGGUUGAAAGGUAGAAAAUAGACUAGAAUUACCCGUCAUAUAAUCUGUGGCACCAGAAUUAAUUACCCAUUUGGAGGACGAGGACACAAGGCAUGUGUUUGGUUUACCUGACUCAGCGAUGACAGUUACGGGAGUAGAUGAAAACUUUAAUGAUUCUUGUAUUGAGAAAAUUUAGCAAAUUCAUCUGCAGAGAUCGUAACAGACUUUUCAUGGUUAAUAGCAUUACCGGUAGAAGCAAUAUGUGCGGAUUGAGUUCUCUGAUUCCUGUACUGCAAUUUCUUACAAUCACGCUUCAUAUGACCCGGCUUAUGACAAUAGUGACACACAACCACUUCUGCAUUCUGUUCCUGAGUGUCAAUUCCUUUACCACCACCUUUGUAUUGCUGUUUUUCAAGACCAACAAGAGCACUGCUGGACUGAACAGACUGGGUAUUCUCUGUGCGAAACACCCUACUAAACACAUCUUGCAAGGAUGAGAUCUCAGGACUGGAAAGAAUCUGCGAUUUAGCAUCUUCAAAUUCAGGUGAAAGACCAGCCAAAAAACUCAUAAUUGCCAUCUGUUCCCGUUGAGUUUGCUGAACUUUCACAUCAGAACUAAACGGUAAUAACAGAUUAAACUCCUCAUAAGUUUUCUUAAAAUCCAUAAAAUAAGUCAUGAUGGACUUAUCUUGUUUCUCUGCAUGAUAAAAGGCUUGACACACCUCAUAUAUGCGAGAAAUAUUUCCUUUACCAAAAUACAAAAAUUCUAAAUACUCCAUUAACUCCUUAACAAAUUUACAGUGAUUAAUUAAGAUAAUUACCUCACUGUCAAUAGAAUUCCGUAUUUGUAGGAACAAUCUAACAUCUUCCCUUAGCCAUGUCAAUCUUGAACCAUCUUUUGGAGGAUCAUCAGUCAGAUGAUUGUUUUUAUCAAUGUUUCGCAGAUAAAGACGAACCGUUUUGCUCCAAUCAAGAUAGUUAGAAUUGUUGAGUUUGUGGUCCGUGAUCUUAGACAUCACAGGAACCACAUCAGACGUAACGACAAAUUUCAUUUCUGCCAUGGGUUCAGAAUUAACAGAAAAAAAAAAAACAAAAAAGGACAGAUCUGAACUCUUUAAAACAAGAGUGAAGAAUAGAACACAGAUGUGUCCUAUACAGAACCAGAUGAACCGAAUGAUGACUAAUGAAUUUUCUGGCAGCGGACAGAGACCUUAACCUUGAUGGUAGGGCUUUAAUACUAUGAAAACUAAGAAAAAGGGAGAGAAAAUACUUUUCUUCAUAUAUUUGGACUACACAAUAUACAUAUAUAUAUACACAAAUGUAACCUAAUUUAAAUUCUAAAAUCAUGCUAAUCUAAAUCAAUCUACUACCUAAUUAAUAUAUGAUACUAUAAUCAUAUGAUACCUAAUCUUUACAAUAUCAAAUCUUUCCAUAAUAUCAGAUCACAUAUCUUCAACACCAUAAAUUCAUUUGUGUGAAUUAACUGAUCGGAAAAAAAUGCUGCCUUUCCGGAGGGCACCUGAAAAUAUCGUCUAGAAACAUAUUAAUUUCAAAAGAAAAAUCAUAUAAAUCCCUUAAAAAUACUUUUUUUUAAUUUUUUUAUUGGAGGGGUUUAAGGCAUUAUCAUAAUUUGGUGUUGGAGUUCUUUGGGGAGUGUUUGGACGAGAUUAAUGAGGUUGGCAUUGUCGGAAACAAAGCUUUUCAGCUGGUCAAGUUGUUUGUGGUGCUUGGCGAUCGUGUCCUACACACGCUCCGAUGCUUUCUAGGUUUCCUCCGGCGGGAACAACGAUGACAGUGACAUCACCUUUCCUUUCCUCGGUUCUGAAUCUUCCAUUCUAUGAUUCUCAGUCAGUAUCAACGAAUGCUCCCCAAAUGACACAUUUUUGAAGCUAUCUGUAAUUUUAUCGGAUUUUGCUCAGUUCAGAGAGAGUUCUCUUCUAGAGUAGAGUAAAUGAUGAUGUAAAAUUAAGCUGAAGAAAAGAGAGAAAAUUAGCAGUUAAAUAGGGAGCUCGUCUGUCCACUCUCGGACAGUCCGGAAAGUCGAGUCCAACUCCGCCCGACCCACCGAAAAUGUUCCAGGUCGAACCAAGGUAUUAGCAUCUUAAUUAUGUUUUUCCUUUUUUUUAAGGAAAAAAAUUGGGUCAAUAAUUGAAUUUCAUCUCAUAAAUCAUAAAAUGAAAAUGUAUUGAACUAAAGGAAUCAGUCUAGUGCUAGGAGUAAAAAAUGCAAAUAAGUCGAAUCAAUCACGAGCAAUACCAUGUUCGUUCUCUAACUUGACUUGAUACAGUAGUGUUCAAGAUCGAGUUUGACUCGAUUAAGCAUGAAUUUCUGUGAUCAAGUCCGAUUUACUAAACUUUUUGAGAUGCACGAGAUUGACUCGUUUAGGAUCGAACAAAUUCAAGCUUAUAUAUGUAGUUUACACCAUACACUCCUCGAACUCUUGAGCUUAACAUAUCAACACUAGAUGGUCAAUUCGGUUGACUAAUCAAGCAACUCGAAAUCGACUUGAAUUCGGUUUACAUCGAGUCGAGUUGAUCAUUUGACUGAAUUGCUCCUAAGCUCCUAGAUUUUUUUGUAGACCUAAUUAGAAGAAGAUUUUUCGAGUAUUUUCUGUUGUUAAAUUAAGGAUUCAAAUCCCAUGGCACUCAAUUCGUUUGUAGACCUAAUUAGAAGAAGAUUCUUAGAGUCUUUUCUGUUGUCAAAUUAAGGAUUCAAAUCUCAUGGCAUAAUUUAUUUGGGGGUAGCAUGGUAAAAAAAAUGAAAAUGUAUUAUAGUGCAAAAAUAAAAAUCGCCUGAGAUGAAUAUAGUUGAUGGUUUCCUGCUUUCACAUGUUUACUGUCAAGAGUCAAAAGGCACUAAUAUCGGUUUCUCUCAAGUUUCGGAUAGGGCCAACGCGGACCAGUCCCUCGCCCGACUCUCAGAAAAGGUAGAAUUCUCAAUUCCUCUCAAUAAAAUCAAUUAUAUUAGUUUACCACUCAUUUUCUUUUAUAAUUCUUUUUCUGAAUGAGUAAAUUUUCUCCACACGAAUUUUGGAUUCACUUGUAAAUCCAUUUAUUGGGAUAAACACUAAUUUUGAAUAACGAGUUUAAAAUUGCAUCAUCCUAUAUUCAAACAAUUUGCAAGUGGCCAUGUAUUUUUUAUUCCCAAUCCAAACCCUCUAGCCACUAAUACAUUUUUAAAAUGGUAAAAUAAAUCUCAUUUAUAAAAAGAGAGAUACUAGCAAAAACUUAUGAUCUUGUGCAAGCAGGGGAAUGAUUGUCACAGUUUACCAUUUUGGAUUGGAUUUUUUGGAACUUUUUAUAUGAAAAUAUGCAACAAUUCAAGAGAACAAGUAAGAAAAUAUUCUAUAAAAUUCAAGAACUUUUACCACAAUCCAAAUUGAACUAAUUCUUUUCACUACAACUUUUUAUAAUAAUAAAACUACCUCAAUUCUCAAAUCACAAUCAUUUGACAAAGGUGAGAUUACUAUAUUAUUGAAAAAUUUCUAUACCAUCGAAAUUUGAGUUUUGGCAUUCAGUAGCCAUGGGCAUAUGCAUAGACCUAUGCUUUUAGGAACAUUUUUAGAGGAUUCACAAACAUAUAUAGUAAGAGUCCAUUUAGAUUGUUAUUUUCUAUAUUUUUUGUAAAAAAAUAUAUUAUAGUGAGAAUAUAUAUAAGAUUAAAAGGUAAUUAAAAAAUAUAUUUAUGAAAAACAUAAAUAUUUUUGAGAGAAAAAUGGCAAUCCAAACAAAGUAAUUUCUGUCGAAGGAAAUUCAGUUUUAUAGUGCAUUCUAUGUUUAUAGUAUGGUUUCCCAAAAAAUACUGCCAAUAUUUUUUAUCUGUUUCCUUCAAGCUACAUUUUUAACUCCUUUUGGAAGUCGCUGGAAAAUUAACUAGACUUUCUAUUUCAUCCUUUUGACUCAAAAAAUACACGCACUACGCCUACUUCUCCUUUCAUCACACAUUGAAAGUUUCUAUGCUGCAAUCUACUAAGCAUGAUUAUGCCGUUUAACUAGUUCAUUAAUAAAGUAUUCCAAUAACUGUCUCCGACUAAAUUAUUGUUAAACAAAUAGUAAUAUCAGGAGCAUGUCUUUUCUGGCACUACAAUUUACCAGUGAAGGGUCUUCUUGUUGUUAAAGCUUAAAACCCAGAGAAACAGCAAGAAUCCUGCUCAAUCAUUUAUAAAAAAUGUUUUCCUUUCCAAUUUACAAGUUUUGUUCUCUGAAUUAGUUUGUUGAGCUCUCACUUUCUUUAGAUUGAUCGGUGCCUUAAGCCGAUCAGUUGUUGGGGGGUCGUUAGUUAAGUGAAACAAUCCAUUGAUUUCAGUAUAAGCAACAACCCCUUUUUAAUUUUAGUUGGAAAAAUCUCCUUUUUAAGUGAAAUGGGAUCAUUUCUUCGUUUGGGUUUGUGGAAAAAAGCUUCAAGGAUAAGAAUUUAAGUUGCUUUCGAGAUGGGUUUGGUUGAAAGUUUAGAUUUUUAUCGGCUAAAGAGGGUGAAUUUGAGGUUCUCGUCAAGAAUCUGCUUUGGAUUGUGGUUAGCUUUUGCUGUUUUUCAUCCAGUUCUGGGGCUGCGGCCUUUAAGGGAGAGAAGUCAAUCAUGGGGUGAUGAGGUUAGUAUUGAAUUUUUAAGGCUUUGUUUAUCCAAUUAUGGUUACAAAUUUUGUUCUUAGAUUAUCUAGUUAUGGUGUUUUGACCAAUUAAGCGUCUGUUUGGUUUUACUUUACAGAUUGACCUUUUGCCUUUCUGUUCUAUUUAUGGUGGUAAUGUUGAAUGUUUAGUCAAAGGAAAAGCCAUAAAUUGUGUGACUUGCUGGGGAAAUUAAUUUUCUUGACUAGUUUGUGAAUAAAAGAAGUAAUUUUGGUUUUUUUUUGGGUGAUAAAAAUUUUGGGAGUUUUCUAUUGCAUUCUCACUUUGGCAGUUGUUCGUGAAUUAUCAUUAUUUUUGUUUCAGAAGCAGCUGGCCAGGAUAUUUUAGAAUUUAGGUUUUGUAACCAUUAAUGUAGAAUUUUUUGCGUGAACAUUUUAGUAGCUUUCAGAGUGGAUAUAGGUGACGUGUUUACCUUUAUGUACAAUUAGCUACUCCAUAUGGGUCCUCGCUCAUAUGAGGGCAGCCUGAGAAUUGGCUGGAUCGAGAAUCCGAGAGUAUGUAUGACAAAGGGUUUAGCUACUGAGACUUCAUUUCAGCUCCUUAUUGACAUCUGUGUGGGUGAAUAAUUAUAGUUUCAUGUGUUGGAGGUAUGAAUUAGCACAAGGCACAGAUGUCAUCAUAAAUAACCACCUCUAUAGUUGGAAAGUACGCACCUACGGAGAUUUCCGACUGGUGAUUUACUGUCUGUUUUCAGAAGGGCAUGGAGUGUUAAAUUGGAAGGUAUGCUGAAGGGAGUGAUACUGUGCUUGUCUUGCUUGAAUACGAGUUAGUCUCUUAUGAGAGGCUGAAAGCAAAUAAAGCAUCAGAUUGACAGAAGAAUUCAUUCAAGGAGCUUCUCCAUGAUCACUCCUACUGAGAACUAGAUGAAUGAGAAAAGAACUAGUGGAAGAGUUAAUUUUGUGUAAAGAUUGGUUCACUUGCAUGAUAAUCUUGGAGGUUGUGGAUCAGAUGUAUUUCCUUUCAUUGAAUGAAGCAUGUAUGUAUGUUCAGACAAACUGUUUUUUUUUGGAUGGAUUUCUUUCUUUAAUUUGUCUUUUGAUCUGAUUCAUAUGGCCUAGUUGCUGGAUGUUAUUCGUUGAACCAACAUGACAAUUUAUAGCGUGAAACUCAGGCAUGGGUUCAUCCUUGUGAAGUCACCGACUUAAUCAGUCUGAAAGUUUCUGUCAUUUCUUUUUCAUUCCCCCCCAGAGGUCAAUGGAUUGUGAAAGGUUCCACCUCUGUUUACGUCAAUAUUGGACACAGACCAAAUGUUAAGGAAGAAUAAGUAGAGGUUUUGUAUUGCCAAAACUAUUAUUGAAGGAGCACUUUUGGAAGUGAUUCCUGGUGCAAUAAUUUGUUGCCAGGAAGCUGUUUGGGUUACUCUUGGUAUUGGAGGCUGGAUUUCUCUGAUAUAUUCUGUGUGGAUAAGUGGAAUAGGAUGUUGGGCAAUGAGAAGAACUAGCUUCAGCUAAAGUUUUUUAAGCAAAAUAAGAAGAAUUAGGGCAUUUUGUGGAGUUUGAGGUGGAUCAUCUCAGGUGUUUGAGGUGAGGUACAGAAGCUGAAAGUUCUUGAAAUCUUUGAACUUUCUGGUUUAUUUUACCUUUAAAAGAAUUGCAUUAAAUAUGGCGUAAUCAUUUCAUGAUUUCUGAUAACAGAAUUGUGAUCCUUAUAGGAUAAAAUGGGUAUCUUUCUGACAAGAACCUCAUUUAAGUUGGCAUUUGAGGCAGACUAGUGCAACAGAAUUUUAACUGCAAUGAAGUAUGUACCUGUUAUUCAAAUGACAAAUUCUAGGUGUUCUUACUUAAAGAGAUUGUGUAUAUCCUUCUCAACAAUGAAAGGGAACAUAGGUGUCUUGUUUCUUCAAAAGUCCUAAAACAAGGCCAUAUUCCCGUGCAUUGAAAUUAUGUGAGUUUGUUGUUUGAACAUUAGUAGUAUAUCUAUACUUGAUUGUACAAGCCAACUUAGAACUGAGGCUUGAGAAUGUGUAAAAACUACUCUAAGGUUAUAUCCAUCUGCUUUAAGUUAAUGGUUAUAGGUUCCUCCAGAAAGAAAUUAGAGAAAGUUAUGUUUCAGAAAUAUGCCUUUCCAGCUCGGAUAUGCUGUUCCAAGUUAACAUACUAAACAUAAUAAAAACUGGAUUUUCUGUAAGCAAGUUCACUAAUUUGUAUCUUCAUCCUGUCAUAUAUUUUUCCAUCCGACUUUCUGCAUUGAUUUUUCUUGGAGUAAUUCUCAUUGUUGCUUUUAACAGUGGCUUUUCGUAAGAAAAGAUGAGAGCGAGUUGGGCCCUUUUUCUGCAUGGAAUAUAACAGGAACAUAUAGAGGUUUGUCAGUUAUCUUGCUUUGAAUUUAUCAUCUUAGAUCAAGGCUCUUUUAUUAUCACAUGCAUCCGUUCUCUGGUCUUGAUUAUGUAUACCUUUUCUAUGUUGCUGAAUACGCUUAUAAGUACCUUUACUUUGCUGAUAAUUAGUAGCCUAUUUUAUACAUUGUGUUAAGCCUGAAGGAUAUGAAUAUUUUGAAGCUGAAACAAUUGAAAUUAGGUUACAAUCUUUGACUAUACCUGUUUUGGAAAUUUAAAGGUAAUUAGUAUUUAUUUCUAGUUGAACAUUUUUGUCUGAUUGAGUCAUGCUUUAAGAUUCUAUUUUGUUGUAUUAACAGUUUCAGCUGGAUGAGGUAACUUGAAGCAAAUUUAUAAUUUCACGGACAUGUGUAAACUAGGAAAGAGGUGGAAGAUGUAAGGCGUUUUUGCCUGCCUAGAUACUGUUUUAAGAGUGAUCUGUCAUGUUUGAUUAAUGAAUGCUAUUGAGUAUUACAAAAUCUUCAUAUCAGUGGCAGAGCAGUUUGGAACUUUUAUUUCUGAUACUUGUUAGGGAGAUCUUUCGGAUAUUCAUGCUCCAUGAUUGCUAGCAUCUAAAAAAUAGUCUGCACCCUGAAGUGCCUGCAUGUCCUAUUAAUAUAUUUUCCCUUUCCUAUGUGUUCUUUUUUUUUUUUUCCUUUUCUUGGGCAGGCAUUUUUGAAGAAUCUUUGCUAGAAUCAUGUAAAUUUGAAUGAUAUCAUGAGGUUACAACUGGUAAUUGUAUUUCUGUCAAAGAGUGACUAAAUAUUAUUGUACAUAUCAAUAGGACCAAAAGUAAAUAUCUUGUUGAUUUGACUACUAUUAAUGAAAUGUGCUCAAAGUUGUUUUUGGAUACUACACCUUGCUGAUUAUAUGAUUCAAUGGAUUUAUGACUUGCAGGGUCGUGGAGAUUUCUGGACUCCACAAAUAGCUCAUCCAGGUUUCCUGAUUUCAAGAAAUCCAAUGGAAACUCUGUCCUUGAACUAAUUAGCACUCCAACCAAAAUAACUGGUGUACAUUACGUUCAGGUGAUACCAUCAUUCUGCUUGUUCUAGCAGUGGCUUGGAUGAACAGUCCUUGUCUUAGCUUGUCUGAUUCAUUUCAUGGCUGAAUAAAACCUUCAAUCUGCACGGUGAUCACCCCUUGUCUGUCAAUUUGUUCAUCCUGCAUCUUAACGUGAAUUUUUUGUAGGUCAAAAUUAGUCUUUGCCUCCACUUCUGAUAGGGGAAAGAAAAGCCGUAUACUUUUUAAGUAAUUAGCUAGCUUUGAUUGUGAAAUACAUACAUAUAGCAGUUGAAAUUCUUUAUCAGUUAAGUUUAUAUCAAGUUGGUGACCGAGUGUCUCUGGAAAUGUUUCGAUAAACAGCAGAUUGUUUUGUUUCAAAGCAGUCGGUGUUGAAUCUGUUCUGGGAUAGAUAAUUAAUUGCCAGCAAUGUAAUGACUGACUAUAUAGAGUUACAUUUUACAUCUCCUGUACAGUUACAGUUUACAUCUCCUGUAUUUGACUUGUGCUUAUACAUUGCGAAUACAUAAUGUCUGUGCUUAUACAAGUAACUCUUAGACGUAUUCAAACAUUUAGCUUUAUUCUUGGGGAAUUUUCUUAUCCAAAACUCAUUCCUGUUUGUGAUGCAAUUCUCAUUUGUUUUGUUAAUAUAUGUAAUAGGGUGUAUUAAUCUUCCAUGAUGUUUAUGAUAAUGAACGUGAAGCUGGUGGUGCCCAAAUUCGAAUAGAAGGGGUCUAUAUAUGGCCAUUCAGACAACUCCGACUGGUAACUUAUAGGUAUUCUUGGGUUUGCUUCCACUCUCUUCUUCUGAAUCACUCUUGGGAGUGGUGGAUGAUAUUGCUUUAAAUAUGGUGUCUGCACAAUCAAGGUUGUACUCCUGUUGUAAUUUAAGGAUAUGCGUGCAGCCGCUAGUCCUACAUAAUCCUGCUAUGAUUCUGCUUAAAUAUGCUUUGAAACUCUGUUGCCAGUUCUCACCAUAAUAUGGCAUAUUUCCAAUAGCAGAUAUGUCUCUAGCCAGCGAAGAAAGUUUGAAUGUGUAACCAUCCGUGUAAACAUCCCUCAUCUGUAUAUCUAGUCUGGCUCCUGUCUGCAUGAUAUUGGAUUGGUUAGUUGAGACCCGGGUUCUUAAUUUGUGACUUAAUAUUUAGUUCUAAUCUGAAGCUUUUUUUUAUUUUUAUUUUUUUCUGAGUGCAAAAUUAUUUGUAGCUGUGAUCUUAUUUGGAUGACCUGCUUCUGGUCCCUAAUUGACCCACAAUUUGACAUUCACUUCUAUGCAUUUGCUGCUAAUGUUGUCAUUGGUAUCUUCUGCGGACACGUUUUGGUAACUUUUCAUAUUCUUGCUGUUCUUUUUUGCAACAGUCUUUAGUUGGACUUUCUCUACCUGUAUGGUUUUGACUGUCUACUAAAAGUUUCAUGGCUCAAGUUACUUUGGUUUAAAUGAUCCCAACAUUUUGAUUACUUCACUAAGUUUUUAGAAUUGAAUUAGAAAAUCACUUCUCGAAAAUGUUCUGGAUUGGCCCUUUGUUCUCUAUGCUGAAUUUAUUUGACUUAUGAUUUCCUUGUUGAGCAUCUUCACCAUCUUUUUGGCCUUUCUUGCUUUCCUAUUCUCCUUUCCUUCGCCUUAAAAGGAAAUAGAAAGAGGGAAAAUGGAAAGGAGAAAGACAAAAAUUCAUUUAGGAAAUGCUGAUUUGCUUAUUAAUAUAAUCUGCAGAAGUGUUUUGGAAGCUUUCAUAACUCACAUUUCUGGAAAUUCUAAUUUGCAGUGGAAAAGAGGGCGAGUUUGGCCAGGAAGAUGACUAUAUACUAUCGAAUCCGUAUCACUUGGUAAUUGCCAUCUCUUAUGGUCCACUUUUUGAUGGUUCUGUGGGAUAAUGGUGCUUGCAUUUUCUGCUUUUCAGAUUGAAUGCAAAAUAGUUCACUGUCAUUUGAAUGACAGAAAUUCAAUAUAUGUGAUGCUGCUUUUAAGCAAUGGGGUAUCUGUUUGAGUUCCAUUGACAGUUUCUACGUGUGUUUGGUUGGUUUUGCCUUUUUCUAAAUUUUUUUCCUUUCCUUUUUUGUUCCAGUCUGUUGUGGAAAUGUUGUGUUUAAAGGGAAGAUCAUAAUUAAGGUCCUUAUGGAUUAGGUGUUUUUAAAAAAUUUACUGUAGCAUUUAAUCUUAAAAAACUAUACUGUAGCAAUGUACUUUGGGGUGUUUCGUAACAUUUAAUUUUUUUUUUUUGGAGUGGCUUAGAAAAGUUAAAAAGUUCCUUCUCCCACCACCCUCAACCUCCCGCCACACCUGCCUCCCUUUCCCUGCCUGUCAACUCCUCUCCGUCCCGCACACCUUCCCUUCUCUGCUGCCUCUCCCCCCCCUUCCACCCUCCCCCCUCUCCUCUCCCCCUGCCCCUUCCCCUCCUUCCUGGGUACCGGAUCUAGUCAUGAGGGACCAGAUCUGCAGGAGUGGUGGUGCGGCGUGGUGGAGGAAAAAAGGGUUGGUGGUUUCUUUUAGUUAGUUUUUGAUGUUUUUGCUAGGUGUAUUAGGAGUGUUUUCUAGAUGUGUUAUUGUAAUAUUGUAUUUCAAAAACUAGUAUUUGAAAAAACUCCUAACCCAAAGAGAGCCUAAAUUUCCUUUAUCUGCUUGUUAUAAACAAACUAAUGUGGUUCUAUCUUUAUUUUUGUGAAAGAUUUCGGAAUUUUUUGAAUCAAAGUUUUAAUCUGCUAGGAGGAUUGGACUUUUCAGAAUCCUUAGUAUUGUAUCAAUUGAUCAUUUAAACUUCCAUUUGGUUAGGUGCUGGCCCAGAGGGAAUCUAUAGUUUAGGUUUUGUAACCUUUGAGUGAUUUUUUGGUGUGCAUCUGCUAGCUAGAACGAGGACUAUUUUCUGUUUACUGUAAAACUUUCAUUCAACAGUUGGCCAUUGUUAAUGGUCAACAUGAGUUCUUUAAGCAAUCUCCCCUACUUUUGUUGGAAUGGACCAGCAAGUAAGAGAUUUCAAUCGUCCUUCAUUCCUUGUUCCAACUUUUGUGAUCAACAGGCAAGAGCAUAGUAUUAUGUUGUACCCUCUACAGAUACUAGACAUAUGAAAGAUGUUCAAUCAAGGGAUGAGUUUGGGUUUCCAUUUCUUGAAAAUUAGGACUGACAAAAAUGUUGUGUUGCCCAUGGACCUUGAAUGUUGUCUAAGAUGAAAUUAGAUCAUUCUCAAAGUGGUCCAAGAUGAUGUUUCCCGGAUUCACCUAAGUAGGGGUGGCAAAGGCUCACUAAGCUUCGCUUCCCUUCCCCCCUUCCCUUAUUAAGUGGAAAAUAAAUAGUAUUUGGUAUUCUAUAAGCGACUACACGACCGAUAGCAAAGCCAAGCAAUUUGGAUCCAAAACCAUCCAAAUAAACCUAGGUUAAAUGGAUUUGAUUGAGUGAGAAAUUCUUAAUGACGCUAAAUGGUUCACCAUUUAAAUCCACGUAAACUGGUGGAUUUAAAUGGGUUAUCCAUCUCAUCCAUCUAAAUCCAUUUAUCCAAAAAAAAAAAAAAUGAAACUCUCUCCACACAUAUCACGCUAUACACACACAUUCACACACACGGCAAGCACUGACCCACAUACUAUACUUGCUUUGAGCUUUACCCAACUUGACCCGUUACAAAACCCGAGAGAAUAUGGAUCUGUUGCAGAAUUCUCCCUCUGCUGCUCCUAUGUGAAUAUGAGUUUGAGUCAGUUUUGAACUCGUAACUCAAGAAUUGAUAGGGGCCAUUUUUGAGUCAACCAGAAUUAGACAUUGGCUUCACUUGAUGAUUGAUGAUGAUGAUAAGUAUGAAGAUUUCCUGGCUGAAGCAUAUUAAAGUUUCCAAACCCGAGCGAAGUCAUUUGGAAGAAAAAGAGUCAAUUUGAAGUGGUUCUGGUUUUUUACCACAUUGAAGAAUGCCCGAAAUCACUUGGACAAAGAAGAGGUCAAUUUGAAGUUGGUCGGGUUUUUUACUAGAUUGAGGAAUGCCCAAAUGACUACUAAUCAGUAGUUGAAUCGUUGGAUCCAAACUUAUUCGGGAAGAGUAAAUGGUUGCAUGGAAGGAUAAUGGUUUUACAUUAGCCAUGUAAAUCCAAUCCAUUUGGAUCUAUUUUUUAAUUGGAUGUGAAUUGAUCCACUAUCCAUUUAGUUAAAACCAUUUAAUAACCAAAUAUCCAUUUUGCCACUUAUCCUGGUAAUUAAUGUGUCCAUUCAUGACAACUAUGACUUGGAAUGACUUGAGUCAUUGUUUCUUUCACAGCUUGGAGUUUUCUCAUCCCAGGUGUUCCAGGAGUCUCCACGUGACAAAAUUUGGAAAAGAAAACAUUGUAAUGUUAUUCAUCCAUCAUGACUUGAAGUUCUCAUAGCUGGUGGGUGAGGUUGACUAAUCAUAUCUUCUAUUGCAGCACCCAUAUAUGAAAUGGAGAAACACUGUAACAUUGAAAUUGCGGCUCAAAUAUCACAUAUGUCAUCCACUCAAAAUGGUACAUGAGUUAACUAAAGCAUAUGAAUUCUUUCUUUAUUCCUUAUUUUCUGUCUACUAUUGGUCAUUAAAUGAUUCAACAAUUUGACUUUAUACUGCAUUUUUUAAGAAAUAAUAAUGGUCAACAAUAAGGGUAGCUAGUGUAAGCGACUACUCUUUUUUUUCCCUUUUUUCUUUUCCCCCACUGCAUCUUGUGAUGUUCAUUCUGGAGUGUAAAUGUAAAGACGCAACCUUUUUGUGCUGAGCAGUAAUUGAUGCUACUAUUUAUACUGCAAAUGGUUCAAUUGUACCUCCAGCACAUAAAAACUGUAAUUCUAGUAGUUGAGUAUUAAGGGAGACAUAAUCCUUAAAUAUAUUGUACUGAAAUAUUAUAUUACCUUUGACAAAUCUGGUUGUUUGAUGUACAUCUACUGAGAGAAAAAUGGUUUGCCAGGAAAUUGAAUGAUAGGUUUAAUCUGAUAGAGACUUUGUACAAGAUGUGUGUGGUUAUAUUUAAAUGCUUUUUCUGUUAACUCAGUAAUUUAAUCAUGUGACUAGUUUUUUUGUGAUCUCUAGAGAAUAUUUUAAUCUAUUUUACCCUUCAUCUUUUGCUAGAUGGAGACCAUGAUAGAUAUCAUCUUGAGGGACUGAUGGAAAGCCCUUCAGUGGAUGAUGAUGGAGAUUGUUUCUCACCCAUUGCUUUGAAUGCCACUUCUGUCAACAUUGAGGUUUACUACAACAAAGCAGUUAACUACACCUUGAUGGUCACCUUUGUAUCCUUCUAUCGAAAAUUGGAUAUUUAUUUGUUUUUCCUUUAUCUUGUUAUCAAAUUCUUUUGGUGGAUUCCUUAAGUUGUGGCACUAUAGGUUUCUUUCCUUCAAGUUCUUCUGUUAAUUCGACAAAUGGAACAUAGUAACACUCAAUCAGUAAGAUUCCUUGUCUUAAUCAUGCUCAUUUGUUGGUAAAAACAGUUUCAUUCUCUAUAGGUUUUCAUUUCUACUAAGUCUGGAAGUGAUAUCAGGUUUGCCAUCCCUUCCUUCUGAUAUUGCUUAAUGGAAGAAUUAACUGAUUUGGUAUCAUUCCUACAGGGAGCUGCCAAAGUGUCUAUACUGAUGAUAGGGCAGCAGGCUAUCAUGGACGCAUAUCUUUGUUUAUUGCAUCUGACAGCUGGAAUUCUAGUUGGUAAGUUUGAACUGGAUUGAUGUGUGUGUAUCUCUACGUUACUAAGUGAAAUAACCACAUUUUUUCUUUCUUAAUGAAGUACAUUAUCUUUACCCUUUAACCUUGUGUAAUCUAUCUCUUGUUGUUUUUCUUCCCUUUGAAAUGGCCCAUGUAAAUCAGUUGCUGUGGCAAAGCUUCUUCCUAGUUUCAUGACAAAAUCCUGAUUUAUAUUGGCCAUGAAAAAGCCAGUUACUCAUAAUUUAUAAGAAUAACAUUUUUUAUAGGUACAUGCUAGAGGUAGAGCAUAGAUGAAUUCUAGUUUGGGAUCUUUCUCUUCAUAAUGGACUUUUUUCCCCCCUCUUAUUCUUAUAACCUGCAUGCUUGGAGGCGUAUUUGUGGUAGUGAAGAGAAAUGUCUUUGGCAAAAUUUUUUGCUUCCUGCUUUUGAAUUCCCAGCAGCAAUGGUGGAAUACGGUUAGCUGAACCUCAGAUACUCGUAUUGUUCUUUUAACCUGCAUGCUUGGAGGCGUAUUUGUCAUAGUGAAGAGAAUUGUCUUUGGCAAACUUUUGUGCUUCCUGGUUUUGAAUUCCUAGCGGUUGUGGUGGAAUACAGUUAGCUGAAGCUCAGAGUCAGUGAAUAUGCAUUUUGUCUUUCUGUUCCUUAAUGACUGUUUCAAAUAAUUUUUUUAAAAAAAUUUCUGUAGCCAAUUUUGUACCAAUUCUAUUCUAUCUUUAUCCCCGCUGCAGUAUUCAGCUCUGGAGCUCUAUGUAUUUUAUGUAAAAUUUUCCCUCUGGUUCAUUUGGAUUAUUAACUCGUGUCUCUGCCUGCAGAAUCUCUAUUCAAUGCUUUUGCAACUGCAGCUUUCUUCAAGUUUGUCGUGUUCUCAAUAUUUGAGAUGCGUUACCUUCUUGCCAUAUGGAAAGCAAGUAGGCCUAUGAAUAAUGGAGAGGGAUGGGAAGCAAUGAGACGUGAACUAUCAGUUCUUUACAGUCGUUUCUGUGAGUAUUCUCUUGUUGAAUGUUAGAAUGGUUCUAGAUACUAAUGUGGAUAUCAACCAAUGUAGAUCAAAAUAUAUAUUUCCUUUAGUGGAGAUAUGUGUACAUACACAUGUUUUUUGUUAAGGUGAGAUCUUCCUAUUAAGACAACUACUGUUUCCAUAGUAAUUAGUACAAAAUACAAAUUACAAGAUAAAGAGAAACACUGCCUAUUAAUGAUAAUGGAGAAAUGACCUGGUAUGAAGAUUCAGAAUAUUUGGGAACAAUACUUCCAAUGCAUCAUCUAGCCAACCUGAUAUAAGAAGUAGCAUUACAAGAAAGUGGAAAUUGGCAAUAAUGUUGCAAACAAGGCUACAUGUCAUGUCAGUUACAUGGAUACUCUUCCAUGCAUGCUGGCAUUCUAUUGGGCCUUAAGUAGUUAAUAAAAAAUCAGAUGCAGUCACUGCGUGACACUUGUUGAAAACACAUGCUGCAGUUACAAGAUGCCUACUGCAAACUAUGACAAUGAAGAAAAAGUGAGAAUACAACUCCUUGGUUAGUCAAACACAUUAUCAAAUCUUUUGUUGAUGAAUAACAAGUGUCUGUAUUUAAUUGGAAGAAAAGACAGGGAAUAAGCUAAUGCAAAUAUAGUUUGUAAAGUAUGCUUGUUCGUGGAAUAUCUAGGUGUGAAUGUGAGAUUAGUGCACUCAAGCUCUUCUAUGUAACUAUUCUGCAAAGACCCAAAUGUACUUCCCUGCUGAUCAUUUUAUAAAAUAUCUACAAAGUAUGUGAGAAAAGAAUGUCUAGUUAGGCAUAUAGAUGAAAACAUGAUCAUAUGUACCCUCAUAUUGUCCUUGGCAUAUUUUUAUGCUACUUUCAGAAAAAGUACGUCUUCCUGUAUCUAUGCCAUUUAUCUGUCCUUUUGUUCUACAAAGAAAACUAAAUACUGAUUGUAUAGCUUUCUGUCCCUCUAUUUACUCCAAAUGUUUUAGCAAGCUGCAUACAUGUCUUUGCAGCUUGUUUUCCUUGCAUUGAAUGUUUUAGUCACUCUAACUUGUAAAUUAGUAUGGUAAAUGGAAUAAUUGUUGGAAAAUGUUUCUUGUUCUUGUAAAGGUGAAAGACUAGAAUCUUACUAGUUGUGCCCCAAUCUAGUAGACUGUCUGACCUACUGUAAUGGUGUUUUGUUAUAAUUUUGAACCCUUUUAAAUAUAGUAUGAUUCUCUCUCUCUCUCUCUCUGUCUAAAGCUUAAAGUAUCCACCUCCACUUGUAUAUACAUCGAUGGUGUUUUUGGAUAACUUUCAUUUCUCGUUUGAAUAUCACUUAUUCAGCUUGCCUUUUUAGCAGAGUUACUAAAAGAAAUAUAUAUUGUAUAUGCAUGUAGAUUUUUGUCAAUAACCUUUAAAUCUAUUGCAGAUGGAAUCCUUUUGGGUGGGAUUUUGAUCACGUAUGAGUUCCACAAGUUUUUGCGGCUUAUUCUUUUGCUUAUGCACUCAUUUUGGAUACCUCAAAUUGUCACUAAUGUGGUUCGAGACUCGAGAAAACCACUGCAUCCUCAUUAUAUCAUAGGAAUGACUGUAACUCGGUUAGCAAUUCCAUUGUACGUCUUUGGCUGCCCUCACAACUUCAUGCGAAUAGCGCCUGACAAGAACUGGUGCAUCUGUUUGGGUAUUUUUAUGGGCUUCCAGGCUUCAAUUCUUCUUCUACAACAUUACCUUGGUUCACGGUGGUUUAUUCCCCGACAGGUCUAACACUUUUUAUGAUAUUUAUAUAAUCAUAUCCCUGCUAUUUUUUGUUCAUAACCAAAAAAGACACAAAUUUGCUGCUGCAUGUUGCCCCACCUUUUCUCAUCCCUAUUUUCUGCAUUGAUUUUUGUCAAACAAAAAACUGGUCCUCUAUGAACUGUGCAGCACAAAUCUACCUCUCUCAAAACUGACCUCUGAGAGUGACAGCAUGUACAAAUUUUUCCACCAUGCCUUUCUGGCUUCAACAAUGUUGUCAAGUGGUUUGCAUACCUAUUGUCAAAUUAGCUAUGUGUUUCACCUUACUAAAUCUAGGUUUUUUGCUAUCUUAGCCUCUGUAAUUGUUGGAUCAAUGUUACAGUUUGUAUGAGUUUCAAGCAGGAUUAAUCAUAUCAGUUUUACUUGUAACAAUUUAUAGCGUAACAGCCCAAUGCUUGUAUUUGGAAGCUCCUAUGCAAUUAUUUCUUAUAAAAUAUCGCAAAAGGGCAAUAUGUUAUUUUCUUCUCUUCAAUUCAUGCUCUGAUAGUAUUUUUUGUUUAAGUCAAAGUACCUAAGUCAUGUCAUUUAUAACUACUUGCAUUGUCUUGUCGCCAUCUACCUGUUAAAUUUGGUAAAUUGUGAAGAAGAAUAUGGAUUUGAUAUCUUCAGUGUUUCUUCUCACUGAUGCUACAUGGAAGAUAGAUUCACAUGUUUGUGAAUAACUAUAUAUUUUUAUUUCUCUCAGUUUUAUGGAUUGUUGAAGGAUUGAGCUUGCGUAUCUUAGAGAGAGUGCCUAAUGUGGUAUAAAAAGAGAAUCUCUUGAAUGAUCUUUUUUUAAGAGUCUUAAAAUGAUCAGUGGAGUAGUUUUGGUUUAGCCAUACUAGUGUGUGAUGAUGGAUAUAUAAGAGAAAUGACACAUUUAAAAAAAUUGAUUAGCAGCUAUUUUGUUGUACUUUACUGAGCAGUUAAAAGUGUUGCUUUUUCAUUAUGCAUGUGAUAGUGUGAUUGGAGCUUUGCAUUUCUGUCUUAAACAGCCUUCAUCUGAAUUGUGCAGAUUUUACCUGAGAAAUACAGCUAUUAUAGAAGGUUUGAUCAGGAUCCAAACCAUGCCACAGACUGUGUCAUUUGUAUGACUUCAAUCGACCUUACUCAACGCUCUAAUGAUUGCAUGGUAUUAAAUCAAAUGCUUAACACUUCAAUUACUUCACAGGAUGACAUCUUUAAAAGUAUAUGUUUUGAUUGAAUAUUUUGUAAUCUAGGUUACACCAUGCGAUCAUUUCUUUCAUUCGGGCUGUUUACAAAGAUGGAUGGACAUAAAAAUGGAGUGCCCAACCUGCAGACGUCCUCUUCCACCAGCUUGAGGAGAUUGUAUGACCUUUCCAUCCAUUUUUUCAAGGACCAACUGACAUUGCUCAACCUGCUAACUGGGGUAAAUGGCUUCUUACAGACUCUUAAUUGCUGUUUAACUUUGCUAACUUACUGGGUCGGUUCUUUUUUUCCACCUUCCAAUUUUAAUGUAAUGUCAGAUCCUUCAAGUAUAUAAAUCUUGUUGGGAAUCAAAGUAACGGUUAACGUCGGGACAUUUUCAAAUAGUUUUAUAAUAUGGAUUAUGCAUAUUUUGCAGUAGAAUAUACUUUCUUGUCCCUGAAAUCCAACUUAGCUGGUAGGGAUAUUAGCUUAGGUGACUAUGAGCUCUCUGGUUCGACUCUCAAGCCCUCCCUUUUCCCAUUUCCCCCUUGAUAAUGUUUGAAGUCUCUCAUUGAACCAAAAGAAUAUACUUUCUCAAAUAUCUGUGUCUGCAAAUUUUUUUGGCAUUUCAAAAGGGCUAAACUUGCAUCUAUACACGUUUAAGUUUUUUAACAUGUCUCACAUGCUUAAUUUGCCAAAUAAAUUUUGUCAAUGUCCUGAAGUUUUUGUUUUCUUAGAGAAGGCAGCUUUCUCCUUUGCACUUGAGAGCUCAUUGCAGAACAUGUAAUACCUAAAAUCUCUCUAUAACAACUUUACUAGCCCCAUACUAAAAUCUUGCAUUAAGCUUUUCUUCUUUUACUUUUUGUUUCUUUAAGAAGGAAAAAAAAAAAAAACCAAGAAGCUUCUAACAACAAUAUAUUAUCUCAGGUUGGAGGAAUGGACCAGAUUCGGCUUAUUACAUAUUUGGAAAAAGGGCGAGAACUAGGUGUAGUUAUGGAUGCACUUGCUGACCUGCAAAGUUGUAUUGUGAUGUACAUUAUAGUAGUGUAACAUUUUACUGAAAAUUGAUGAUUCUUCUUACUUUUUUCCCAGCGUUGUCAUUUUCCCCACCCAAGUUUCAUAGGUAUUGGAGACCUUAGGUGAUCCCUCUAUGGGGAAAGAAAAAAAAGGGUACAGUUCUAAGCUUACAAUUCAAGGUAGGUGCAUUGGUGUAUAUUCAGUUACAGGAUUGAUAUGAGAGUAAUGGACUAAUAGUCAUUUUUCACCGAAAUCUUUAAAAAAAAAAAAAAAAAUUCAGACUGCUGUUAUAUCCACUGCUCCCAGUGACGCCACCUCUGCCAUCACGGCCGGCACUGCCACUCCCUAUGUUUGUUUCCACCGGCACUGUUGCAUUAACGACCCUAUUUCUCUUACCUCAAUCUUAUGAUGGCUUUUUUAGUUGUUGUAUGAUGAAACGAUGGGUUAUGGCAAUGAGGGUGCAAGGUGAAGCAGAGCUGAAGAUAGGGAAACAGAUGCGCAGAUAGGCUAGCAGAGCAAGUCUUGCACAGGUCCACCAGCGGGAAAUUUCAGAGUUACAGGAUCCACCGGCGGGAUUGAGGAAUCUGCUUGCAGAUGGCAUUGUUGGAGUGGCAACCCCACGUUUUAGUCUCUUGUUAACGUGCUGUAGCCCUUCCUAGGACCACCCACCCACCAAACCCCCCCCCCCCGGGGCCCCAACCCAAAAAAAAGUGGAGGAAACCAUGGAUCAGCAUCUAGCUCAUCGACAAGAAUGUUGAAGUGACAUUGAAAGCCAUUGAAAUUAAAUGAAUUCGAGACUUGGUAGUGUCAUCCCGGAAAGGGUCCAAUGGUGCACGACUCCAGAGUAGUUGGGUUCAAUGCAAUCAUCGAACAUUAGGGGAUUACAUUAAAAAAAAAAAGGUUAAAUAAGUUGAGCCAGAUGAACAAAUAAAAUAGCAUUAUGGUAGUGGAUUUUUAGGAAGUGGAUUUCUUGAAAAUCCAGUUCAUAUUCACAGCUCAAAGGUUUGAUUUCUCGAUUCAAAUUGAAUUGCCAAGAAGUCGAUUUCACUAUUGCAUGAUCACCAAUAAUAAUUAUAUUUCGUUAAUUUUGAAUAAAAUUGGCAAUAUUCACAGGCUGGCAAAAGGCAGCUUAUCAAGAUACAUUACUGUCUCCUAAUGGGAAUGAGUGUUGCAGUAUCUAUUUGCUAGGGAUCUCCUAAUUGGCAACUUCUAUACGAGUUUAUCAGGAUGCAUUCUCAAAGUUGGUAAAUGUGUAUCCUUGAUGAACACCAUUAAAAGUAUGAUUUAACACAGUUGAUCAGGACUUGAUGAAAAAACUACUGGGAGAAAUUAACACAGAUUAGAUCUUGGUAGAGUGUUAUAUGAGUUCUUGGUUAGUAAUAAGCACCAGCUUUGAAAACAUGUUAAAAGGAAAGGGUGGCUUCAGAUGUUUGAUGUGACAAAUGAGCUGAUAAUUUGAAACUUCGGGUAUCAACUAUCAAUCAACAUUAACAUCUACUCAUACAAACGUUGCCAUGGACAAAUCAAAAGUUUCAAGAUGAGAGCAAAUUUGCAAGACAAACUUCAAUCAAAUCAUUUACAGGGCCCCAGCAAAACCAACAUGGAUUUUGUUAUUUUGCUCGCUGGUUGAGAUGACUAUAGUUGCUGCUGAAGUUAGCCACUGGGAGGUGAAGACAGUGGUGUUGGGGCAGGAGGAGUACCAGAACCACCACAGUGAUAGUCAAAGCAUUCCACAGGAUGCUCAUACACUGCACUGCAUUCCUUCUUGGUCCUCUGAAGAGGCUUUUCCAGCAAACAGUUUCGACGGUCAUCAAACGCAAUGCCUCUGGAUGUCAAGUUCAUGCAAAUGCCUUCCUCCUCGCAGAAGAAGUUAUAAGAAUAUGUGAAAUUGGACAAAUUAGGCAAUACACAAACUCCAGCAGGCACGUCUCCGGUAAACAUGUUGUGAGCUAAAUUGAGGAGCUCCAAGUGAGCUAAUCCUGCAAGGCUGUAAGGUAUUGGACCAACUACUUUGUUGGAGCUCACAUCUAGUACCCUAAGUUUGUAUAGGUAUCCAACCUCAGGUGGCAGGCACCCUGUUAAGCUAGUAUUGAUCAGGAGCAAUUCCUCUAAAGUGUUUGCAAAGUUGGCUAUGCUUGGAGGAAGGCAGCCUCCAAAUUUGUUAUUCGCAAACACCACAACAGAUGCUGAGCUCAAGCCUAAAUUUGGUGGUAUGACAGAAGUAAAGAGAUUGUUGUUGAGAAAAACUGCAUCCAGUUUUUUGGCAAAGAGUUGAGGAGGUAACGGCCCUUCAAACUCAUUAAAGCGAAUAUCAAGAAACUUCAGCGUCGGAAGAGAAAGUACAACAGAAGGGAAAGGGCCUACAAAUCUGUUGUUACUGAGGUCGAGCUCAAAGAGUAGAGUAAGGUUUGCUAAUGAUUGAGGGAGGAUGCCACAGAACCGGUUGCUAUUGAGAUGAAUCAAUGCAAGGUCUGAGAGAAGGCCUAGUUCCUCAGGCAGAAAACCAGCAAUAUCAGCAAAGUUGAGGUCAAUGCCAGCAACAACUUGUAUUUUGGUAUUGUCAGGAUAAGGGGCACAGUAGACUCCUGUGUAAUUGCAUACUGAAGGGCCAAUCCAGUUUGAAGUGAAGUUUUUAGGGUCAGAAUAAAUUACUUUCUUCCAAGCUUGGAGAGCCACAUACGCUUGUUGCAGUCUGGGAUUUAUUGUGGCUUUAUUCGUGGGGUGAUGUCUGUGGUGUUGGUGGUGGCGGGUGGAUGAGUAACCAUGUUUAGCAAAGCUGUUGAAGGAUGAGAGGAUCAGCACUAAGAGAACCAUGGCGUGAGCUAGAAUGAAGGCAAACGAAGCCAUUGCUGUAGAAAGGCCUCUCAAUUCAUUAAGGUUGCUACUGCUCUGGGGAUUCCCUGAGUUUUAUACAGACAAGAUCCACAACAGCACAUGUUACAACCACCAAAUACAGCGACCUUUAACUGUCACAACUGAUAGCCAAGAUGAUCAUUAUGCCUUCCGAGGUUUCCAGGUCUAUGUUGGAUGGCCUGUGCAUAAUUUAUCUAGUACUAUAAUUUGAUGCCUUGACAUGAACUCACCUGCUGCUUUCAACUGUGAUAGGCAUAUGCAUUCUCUGUUUGAUGUGGUCACCAGUAUCUUCAUUUUUUCCUAAUGCACUAUCUGCACAAGAUUGGGCAGAAGAAAAUAUGCAUGAUAUGGACUUUCCUCCUUCCAUGUAAAUAACCUGUUUUCUGAAGUGGAAGUGGAGAAAGACAGCUUCAGCCUCCAGACAGAGACAGAAGGGAAGUGAAAGGAACAAAUGUUUUCUUCAGUUGGAAGGGAUAAGCAUGUUGUCUCUGCGAGGUCUUCCAAUUGUCAACCCAGGGGGGUAAACUUCAGCAUCUAGCUAAAUAAGUUCUGGUCAAAACUGCAUUUGAACACAAAGAAGAAUGGUGGAGAUUUUGUACAGACCACAGAAAAUAGCAAUCCAACUGCUCUUCUAGAUAGGAAACCAGGGUCUGAACAAAUCAUUCCCUCCGUUGAAGAAUCAUUACUAAUCACUGUUGCUGGAUGGAUCUAAUACCAUUAAACAUGAAAUAUAUAUAAUGCCAACCUUAAAACCUAGUAUUCUUAACUGAUGCUUGAUACAUAAAACGCCAACCAUUCUAUGAGUCAGUUCAAUAGUGAUGAGGAAUUCUAUGAUUGCUACCGAAAGGUCAGAGAUGAUGUCAUGUUGGAGUUUCUUUACCAAAGCCUAAGGUGAACAAUCAUGGUCAUUCGUGAGGACUUUUUUUAAGUUUUGGGUCGGACACAGGUGCAAUUGGGUUCACUUGUGGAGCUUUGCCAUGUUUCCUGAUGAAAAUUGUGGGGCAAGAAAAGAAGAGACUGAGAAACAAGAAAACUAGCUCAUAAUAGAGAACCUUUGAUGUAAGGGAAUUUCGCCAAUUCGAUCCCUAAACAUUUUCACUUAAAUCAAUUUCGUCCUUAAUGAAAUAUUUUAACCAAUUUAGUCCCUUAACUAGUUUUUUACUUUCAAUGUAGGACUUUUACUCAAUUUGCGUGGACCAACGGAGGUAUAAUUGUCACACUGGUUUAAUCUUUUACAAUUUACCGGCGAAACAGAUUAGAGAUCAUUACGAGGAAGAGAUCAUUGGCUGACAAAACAGAGAAGAGAGCCUGAUGUCAGCUAGUGCCUGCACCCUCACUCUUUUCCGGUUCCUUGGUCUUGCGAGGAAGAGAUGGCACAAGCCGUCGGAGUAAAUGGGAUCAGUGGGUUCAAAAGAACAGUUUGAACAAGUAGGUGAAUUGAGCCAGUUGCAAAGAGGAGAAGUGCAGGGAAGCGGGUGAUAGCGGUACGUACAGUAAGAGGGGUUGCUGCAGGUGCAUUCCUCCUAAUUGAAAGAGGCAGUGAGGUCAACGAGUAGUUAUGUGGGCUGCUGGUAAGGGGUUCUCAAGUAAAGUGUAAUGGAAUGGAAAGCUUAUCUAAGGACAGGGGCAGGAACCAGCUAAUUGAAACAAUGAAGGCGUGAAGAUCAGCAGAAGAAAGCGUGAUCACUGGACCAGAAGUCAUCAAAGGCGUGAACCAAGAACCACGCCUUUCCUGGGUUUCAGCCUUCAUAACAGAAAUUCAAAACGCGCAGCAACUUGCAGAUGCUUGAGACACGUGUAGCGCCCUCAGUGGUCUAGCUAGAAUUAGUUAGGAUUUGUUAGUAUUAAAGAGCAGGCAUGUCUGCUCUGUGAGGGAGUUUUUUGAAAUCAUUCUUACGGAUUCAUCUGUAUUGGCUUGAGGAGCAAUCCUCAGCUUCCCUCCCAAUUUUCCUUCAAUUCUUUCCCCUUCUUAGCUUUUACCGCCAUUUCUGUUCUUGAAAUUGUCAUCAGAAUUUGAUUAAUAAAGUUCAGAUUCUUACAGCAAAUUAUUCUAUUGAUUCAUUGUUUAUUGAUUCAUCCAAUUGGAUUCAUUCUCCCUAGUUCCUGCAAAGGGACUCUGGCUUCUCUGGUUUCUGGUCCAUAACAGUGGUAUCAGAGCUAGCUACGAGCCAUUGGGUAUAGAUAUACACAUAUAAAAAAAAAUGACUAAAAGCCAAGACGAAAUGAGGAAGGAGAUCACUGAGCUAGGAAGUGUGGUUAGAACUUUCGCUAACAGGAGUGAUGGACUGGAGCAGGCUGUCAGGGUCAUAGAGCACAGACAGGAGAAUACUGAAAAGACACUCAAAAGCCUGGAUCAGAAGUAUGAAGGCAUGAUGAACAUGAUGGCACAAAUGCUGGCAAAGUUAAGCGACAAAGGGAAGGAUGUGGAAGGCACCAGCUCAGAAUCUAGCUUAGUGCAUAAGGAGGAUAACAGGAGGAAGGAGGAGCAGAAGGGAGCUAUGGAUAGAUCUGAACCACAGGGUCACAGAUCCUUCACCAGGCUACCUAAGGUGGACCUGCCAUCAUUCACUGGGGAAAAUCCUAGGGAAUGGAUCAGGAAGGCUAAUAAGUACUUCAAAAUCAAUGGAGUGGAGGAGGAAAUGAAAUCUGAGGUUGCAGAACUUUAUUUCAGGGAUAAGGCAGAUAUCUGGUUUCAUGGUGUAUUCAAUGGAAGGGAGGAUAUUCCAUGGGAGGAGCUCAGCAUUGCACUUUGUGAGAGGUUUGGAGAUGGCUCCCCUGAAGAAGCUAUAGAAGAAUUCAACAAACUGAUGCAGACAGGUUCAGUAACUGACUACCUGGAGAAAUUCGAAAUGCUCAAAGCCCUGGUAAUGCCUUCCCUCCCUCAUCAGCAAGAUUGCUAUUACAAAACUUGUUUUCUAAGUGGAUUAAAAGAGGAAAUAGUAACUAUGGUAAAACUGGCCAAACCUAAAACACUGGCAGAUGCUGUAGAAGCUGCCAAACUGCAGGAGAGAAACCUGAGGGCUCUACAGAAAAUCCACAAAGGCCCUUCCUAUAAUCCCAGCUACCAGAAACCCCUGUUUAAAGUCUCGCAACACCCUAAACUCCCUGACAAAACCCCAAGCUACCCCAAACCACCUGAUAAACAGAUUCCUAAAACUUCCAAUAGCCACUAUACUUCCCAAAACCAAUUCAAAAGACUCACACCAGCAGAGCUCAACCUUAGGAGGGAAAAGGGACUUUGCUUCAAAUGUGCUGAACCAUAUACUUUUGGUCAUGUUUGUAAGCAAUCCCAUCUAAACUUGUUAAUUAUGGAAGAAGAGGAGGUACCAGCCACUGAGGAAGAAGGGGGGAGGAAGGGGGAGACUGAGGUAUUCUGUGACUGUAUUGAGGGAGAAUUAGAAAAUGAGCAUAUAGAAGUUUCUAUUCAUGCUUUGGCAGGGGGGAGUGAGCACAAAACUAUCAGGAUAAAGGGGAUGAUUAAAGGGAAGACCAUUACUGCACUGGUUGACAGUGGCAGCACACAUUGCUUCGUGGAUGAGCAAAUGGCUAAGGUUCUGAACUUGGAAACUAAAGGAGGGGCUCUGUCAGUUAAGGUGGCCAAUGGAGAAAGAUUGCAGUCCAGGAGCAUCACCAAACCUGUGACAUGGAAGAUGCAGGGAUAUGAAUUCCAGCAUCACUUCAAUACUCUAAGACUAGGGGGUGCGAUAUGAUACUAGGAGUUGAUUGGCUAGCUAGAUACAGUCCAAUGGAGUUUGACUUCAGAGGACUAAGUAUGAGGUUCAAAAAGGGAAAGCAGCAGGUUGAACUAAAGGGGGAAGGCAAUGCAGUACAGUUGAAGCUGAUAAGGGGGAGUAGGCUAUACAAAUGGUCCAGGAAACAGGCUUAUGGAAUCAUGGCACAGGUGAGUGCAGUGGUGGAUCAGGAUUCAGACCAGAAGCCAAUCCCACCAGAAGUAGAGAAGCUACUGCAGGAGUUUAGAGAUGUGUUCCAGGAACCUCAGGGAUUACCCCCUGAGAGGAGCCAAGAUCACCACAUCACCCUUCAGGAAGGGGCAAAGCCAUUCCAAAUCAGACCAUACAGGUGCCCUUACAUCCAGAAAACUGAGAUUGAAAAGCUGGUACAGGAAAUGCUCCAGACUGGGAUUAUCCAACUAAGCAGCAGCCCUUUUGCCUCACCAGUACUUCUAGUCAAGAAGAAGGAUGGCUCCUGGAGGUUCUGUGUGGAUUAUAGGCAGCUCAAUGAUCUGACAAUCAAGAAUAAAUUUCCAUUGCCUCUCAUUGAUGAGCUGUUAGAUGAGCUGCAUGGAUCCAAAUACUUCACCAAAAUUGAUCUCAGAGCUGGAUAUUUUCAGAUAAGGGUAAGGGAGGAAGACAUUCCCAAAACAGCUUUCAGGACACACCAGGGUCUAUACGAAUUCAAAGUCAUGCCAUUUGGGCUGACAAAUGCCCCUGCAACCUUCCAAGGCUUGAUGAAUCAGGUUUUUCAAAAACAACUCAGGAAAUAUGUUUUAGUGUUUUUUGAUGAUAUUCUGAUCUACAGCCCUACUCUAGAAGAACAUGAGAAGCAUGUCACUGAAGUCCUGGAGAUUCUGAGGCAACACCAGCUCUAUGCAAAAGAAAGUAAAUGCUCCUUUGCUCAACAGCAAGUGGAGUAUUUGGGACACAUAAUCUCAGCAGAAGGAGUCAGGGCAGACCCCCAGAAAAUUACCAGCAUGUUGCAGUGGCCAAAACCAGUGAACACCAGACAACUAAAGGGAUUUCUUGGUCUGACAGGUUACUACAGGAAGUUUGUCAAAGGAUAUGGAGCUAUUGCAAAACCAUUAACCACCCUCCUCAAAAAGGAUGGCUUCAACUGGGGGGAGGAAGCUGAGGAUGCUUUUCAGAAGCUGAAGUUGGCCAUGUGCAGCACCCCUGUGCUGGCCCUCCCAGACUUCUCCCAGCCCUUUAUAGUGGAGACAGAUGCUUGUUAUGGGGGAAUAGGAGCCGUCCUAAUGCAAAACAGAAGACCCCUAGCCUAUCUCAGCCAAGGCUUGGGACAGAAGAAUCUGGGGUUAUCAAUUUAUGAGAAGGAGUUGCUGGCCUUGGUCACAGCAGUCACCAAGUGGAGGCACUACUUAGAAGGAUAUCAUUUCAUCAUCAACACUGACCAUCAAAGCUUGAAAUAUCUACUGGAGCAAAGGAUCACCACCCCUCUCCAACAGAAGUGGUUGACCAAGCUGAUGGGCUUGAGUUAUGAGAUUUGCUAUAAAAAGGGGAAGGAGAAUGUAGUGGCUGAUGCACUAUCCAGGAAGGGAAGGGAUGAAGCUGAAUGUGCAGCCAUAUCCACAGUCACUCCAGAAUGGAUGAAAGAGGUAACAGAUAGCUACCUGGGUGAUGACUGGGCACAGGAUAUCAUCAGAGGACUGUUAACACAUCCAGAGCUGAACUCAGAUUUCACCUAUCAGAGUGGAAUCCUAAGGUAUAAGGGGAGAAUUGUGGUAGGCCAGGGGGGAGAGAUAAGGAAGAAACUCAUCUCCACACUUCAUGACUCUCAGCUAGGAGGUCAUUCAGGGAUACAGGCCAGUUGGAUGAGAGCAAAGCAGCUGUUUCACUGGCCAGACAUGUUUAAGGAAAUCAAAACAGCUAUACUACAAUGUGAUACUUGCAGGAGGUGCAAAGAUGAACGUGUGGCUUAUCCAGGCCUCCUCCAACCACUACCUAUCCCACAACAUUCCUGGAGUCACAUCACCAUGGAUUUCAUAGAGGGACUGCCUAAAUCAGAGGGGAAGGACACCAUCAUAGUGGUGGUGGACAGGUUCACCAAAUAUGCCCAUUUCCUGGGCCUCACUCAUCCUUUUGAUGCUUCUAAGGUAGCUCGACUUUUCUUAGACCAUAUCAGCAAACUGCAUGGCAUGCCCCAAAGCAUAGUCUCAGAUAGGGACAAAGUCUUCAUCAGUCAUUUCUGGACUGAAUUGUUCACAUUACAAGGAGUAAGGUUGGACAUGAGCACUGCUUACCAUCCACAGACAGAUGGCCAAACAGAAAGGGUCAACCAAGUCUUGGAAAUGUACCUCAGGUGUAUGUCCCACUUGGAGCCUAAAAGAUGGAACACUUGGCUGUCAUUGGCAGAAUGGUGGUACAAUACUACCUACCAUACUGCCAUCCGGAUGACCCCUUUUGAGGCCUUAUAUGGAUCUAAACCCCCUCAACUAGCCUUAGGCCCCUAUGAGCAAGCUAAGGUGGCAACAGUGGGUGAUUACUUAAGGGACAGAAAGCAGAUGGACGAGCUGCUACAACAUAAUCUGAAGGCUGCUCAAGAAAGGAUGAAAAAAUAUGCUGAUGAACACAGGAGUGAGAGAGAAUUCCAGGUAGGUGAUUGGGUCUACUUAAGGUUACAACCUUACAGGCAGUCGACAGUAAUGAUGAGGAGUAACACCAAGCUAUCUGCUAAAUAUUUUGGCCCCUACCUCAUUAAGGAGAAAAUUGGUAAGGUGGCCUAUAAGCUUAAAUUACCUACUGAGUCCAGGGUACACCCUGUGUUCCAUGUCUCCUUGUUGAAAAGGAAACUAGGAGACAGGACCACACCUAUCUUACAGCUUCCAGAUACUGACGAAAGGGGACUGUUCAGAGUUGAACCAGAAACUUUGCUUGGUAGGAGAAUGAUCAAAAGAGGGAAUGCUGCUGUUUCACAAUGGCUAAUACAAUGGUGGGGAACUGAACCUGCAGAUGCAACUUGGGAGGAUGCUGUGACGAUCAGAGAGAAGUUUCCUCAAUUUCAACCUUGAGGACAAGGUUUGCUACGAGGGGGAGGUAUUGUAAUGGAAUGGAAAGCUUAUCUAAGGACAGGGGCAGGAACCAGCUAAUUGAAACAAUGAAGGCGUGAAGAUCAGCAGAAGAAAGCGUGAUCACUGGACCAGAAGUCAUCAAAGGCGUGAACCAAGAACCACGCCUUUCCUGGGUUUCAGCCUUCAUAACAGAAAUUCAAAACGCGCAGCAACUUGCAGAUGCUUGAGACACGUGUAGCGCCCUCAGUGGUCUAGCUAGAAUUAGUUAGGAUUUGUUAGUAUUAAAGAGCAGGCAUGUCUGCUCUGUGAGGGAGUUUUUUGAAAUCAUUCUUACGGAUUCAUCUGUAUUGGCUUGAGGAGCAAUCCUCAGCUUCCCUCCCAAUUUUCCUUCAAUUCUUUCCCCUUCUUAGCUUUUACCGCCAUUUCUGUUCUUGAAAUUGUCAUCAGAAUUUGAUUAAUAAAGUUCAGAUUCUUACAGCAAAUUAUUCUAUUGAUUCAUUGUUUAUUGAUUCAUCCAAUUGGAUUCAUUCUCCCUAGUUCCUGCAAAGGGACUCUGGCUUCUCUGGUUUCUGGUCCAUAACAUAAAGUGACCAAAAGUGAAGCCGAGUGAAAGGAUCCUGGAGAAUGGGAGCUAAAAUAGCUGAAGAAGAAAGGUGAAUGCACAGAAAUAGAACGAAGGAGAAGAACUGGAGCUUGAACUUAAAGAAGUGGCAUUGCUUCUCUUGGGGAUUGAAUUCCAUGGUAUGGAGUGGAAUGGGGUAGAGACAAAUUUGCAGUGUAGGUGGAAAGAAGGAAGAAUUAGCCAAAUCUUUGGAGCCCGAUGAAGGAAUUAAAAAAAAAAAGCUCCUACCAGCAGGGUUUUGGCUAAUUGAUCAUGACAUCCGUCCUGAGUCUUCAAGCAUCAUCCCUUUGAGACUCUUAGCUAACCAGAUUGCUGUCUCCCUUGGAGAAGCCUUAUUUUUUCCAAAAGGUUUUAGAACAACAGCAAGCUCUUCUAGUCUAUUAUGCUGAAGCAAAUCUGCAGACAAUUCUAGGAGCCCUUCUAGUGCCUCUGCCCUCUGCUGGAAAGAUUUGACAUCCAAAGUUUCCUUUGCUGGUGUUGUUGGGGCUUCCUCCUCUGCUACAGGAGAAUUCAUUAUUGCUGGUUCUGAAGAAUCUAACUUUGGAGCUGGAGUGAAGUGAUUGGUCUGAGCUUUCACGUCCACUUCUUUAGUGUUUGCAUUAUCUGAGAGGUUUGAUUUUAAACUCAGAGUCUUAGAGCAACCAGGAGAUUUUGGUGCAGUGGUUAGGUUUUUAAUAUCAACAUCAUCUGUCACCACAUUUAUUAGCUUCCCCACAUCUAAGUUUCUAUCCAGUGUAUCAAUCACUGGUUGAUCACUUCCAACUCGGAAGCUGCUAUGCCGAAUGACGUGAAUCACAUCAUCAAAAGUUGGUGGAAGAUGAUUACCAGUUGUUUUUUCGAUAAUGACAUUUUGCUGAACCGUUCCCAUAUCUGACAGCAAAUUUUUUUGGCUGGUGGCACAAGAUAGAUACCAAGAGUAGUGCUCUCAGAUACCGAAAGUUGGAGUUCCUCAGAUAAAACAUCAAUUCUUCAUCAGUGGGAUCAAAUUUACAUCCAACAGGGAUUUCAAUACGGGCUCUUUUUCCUCCACUAUCGUCGUUUCCACGGGCUGAAGCUGCUGAUGGUUUCUCCAUUUUUAGCAAGCCACGCAGUCAGCCGAAUUGCAAGCAAUGGCCGAUAGGGCUAUUCUUUCCUUUCCCUUUCCAAGCCUCUAGAAGAACAGAAAGGUAGUAACUGUAGAAUAGUAACCCAAGUAGUUGCAGGCACUGGUUGGCUCAGGAACCUUUAAAUCCUUCUUCUCCAAUCAGGCCGUGGGAGAUACUUUAGUGUGUCAGGAAUCAAGACCACCCGCAUGUUGUAAUCUUUCACGUUGAUGAUUUCAAUGGACUUGAGAGCUUAAAACUUUACUAACUUCUUUUCCUCAUCUAGCUCCUCAAUUAUCUCCUUUGCAGAUCUCUGUUUUUCAUUUUUUUCUUUACAUUUUUUUCUCCAAUUUCUAUGAGCCCCUCAUGGGAUCUUGUGUCUCCACUAAGGAAGCAUCAGCUCCAGCCUCGAUGUAACGAUGAGCACGAUAAAUUGCAUCCGAGAGACCGCGUGCUUCUGAUGUAGCACGUGCAUCUCCAAGAAGAACCAGUGCUACUUGCAAAUAGAAUUUAGAAAUUGUGAUGAGUCAUAGUGUCUUCAAAUCCAGAUGUUAAUCUGUUUCGCCGGUAAAUUGUAAAAGAUUAAACCAGUGUGACAAUUAUACCCCCGUUGGUUCACGCAAAUUGAGUAAAAGUCCUGCAUUGAAAGUAAAAAACUAGUUGAAGGACUAAAUUGAUUAAAAUAUUUUAUUAAGGACAAAAUUGAUUUAAAUGAAAAUGUUUAGGGACCAAAUUGGCAAAAUUCCCUUGAUGAAAUUGCUGGACUAUAACCUUGAUGAGUGCAGAACUCGAGAUUCAGAAACAACGGGAAUUAAAUCACAAGCAAAAAAUUCAAAAAAAAAAAAAAAAAAGCAAUCCUUGACCUGAAAAGGGUGCCAGAGAGAGUGUUCCAAGUAUCUUUCAGAAGAGAAUCUUACCCCUCAGAAAACUCGGAUUACAUAAUAGACAGUGUUCCAAGUAUUUCUUUUCAGAAGAGAAAACUUGGAUUACAUAAUAGACAGAAUGUUCCAGGUAUUUUUCAGAAGAGGAUCUUACCCCUCAGAAAACUUGGAUUACAUAAAUUUUACUUGGUCAGAUCAAUACAGUAACAAAAAUGGACCGUCCCUUCCGGGACAUCAUCAGGUAAGAAAUGGACCAAAGAUCCAAAAUUACAUACCUUCUGCUUUAUGUCAUUUUUUCUUUCCCCCCUAGCACAAGAUUAUCUUUCGUCUUCCCUUCAGUUUUUGACCACAUAGACAUUAGUUUCUUCUGCAUCAGCACUUAAAAUAAAAAGAAAAACGAUACUACAGGCAACAGGAGAACAGACAUAACACUUACAAAACACAGGUGGUGUCAAAUUCUCAAGAACGGCAUGAGGUAAAACAGUUUAUUCUUCUCAAAAGAACACUCUCAGAAGAACACUAAACAACACGCGGGUAUAAAGCCCAAGUUGCACAAGCUUCAAAUAAAAGUUUUGAAACUUCCAAUAGGUAUCACUACCAUAUAUUACACCAUCCCGGAGUACUAAAUACUGCUAAUGACAAGUAAAAUAUUGUUCUCCAGAAUUAUUUAAAGCACAAAUAGGUGGACCACCUAGACAAUCUUAAGACUCAUCUUCGUCAUCAUCAUCACCAUCACACCACGCUCAAAUUAACCACCACCACCACCAGAUCCGUAUUUCUUGCCAAAGACAAUGAGCUGCAACUUGUCGUAUCCAGCUAAAACACCAGCACCAGCAACAGCACGCAAGAUGUUCGCUCCUGCACCAUUGAAGAGUGAUUUGGCUCCCUCUUUUCUUAUGAUCUGAGAAAAUGCAUCCACUGUCCCCUUGUACUUGACAGCCUCGCCAGAGGUCAUCAUCAUUCUUCUUCGCACAGUAUCAAUUGGAUAAGAAGCCAAUCCAGCCCCAAUGGUAAUACCCCAUCCCAGCAAGAAACUAGCAAAGAAACUAUCCUGUAAAUAACAACCAAAAUAUACAAUAGUGAGGCCCCAAUGCACAACCAUAUAAAUGAUCCACAUAGCAUAAGACAUGAAACAGAUGUAAUGAAGCAAUAAUUAGUGCUUUUCAGCUAUUCAAAUUCACAUUGGUUACACAUCAAUAGCACCAUAGACAUAGAGAAAGCCAAGUACUUUAAUCAGAUACAGCAGGUAAAUCAUAAAAUUGCUUGUAAAAAGAGACAUUAAAAACUUUUUAAAAAUUUUCUACAGUAUGCUGAGCAACUGAAGAAUGAAAAAGAAAUUAGCAACUAAAGAUAACAAUAGGGUGAAGACUAAAGAUGCUGAGACGCAAGUGUCGAAGAACCCAGGGAGUUUUACUUGCCUGAAGAUCUCCCACAAGGAGAACAGGUUUAAGUGAAUCAUACAUUCCAAAAUACAGUCCACGGUAAACAAUGAUUCCAACACAGGAAAGAGUGAAUCCACGAUAGAGCCCUGCAAUACCAUCGGACUGGAAUGUUUUCUUGUAAACAUCAAUUAAACCAUUAAACUGCCUCUCGCCACCCUUUUUAACUGACUUAGCAUCAUUUGCCAAACGUGUUCGGGCGUAAUCCAGGGAAAAGACAAACAAAAGAGAAGAUGCACCAGCUAAGCCACCAGAUGCCAAAUUCCCUGCAAACCACUUCCAGUAACCAUCCCUGUCUUUCUUGAAGUUAAAAAGGCUCUUGAAGUAAUCUCUGAAAGCAAAGUUCAGAGCCUGAAAUGAAACAGAAAACACAAGCAAAUGAAGAAGAAAAGAAUCCUAAAAUUUUAAAUUCCAUACAGUCAGUCUAACAAUCAGCAUAGAAAAAUUAAGCACCUUCAAUUAAACAUACACGGAUACUAUCAGAUUAACUUUAAUGGGUAUACAUAUCAAGUAGUAUAAAAUUGACCUCUUUAUCCACGCCCAAAGAUCAACUUUAAUUGGUGUAGCAUGGUAGGCCUAUCAAUUUGAAUGAGCAUAAGUACUAAAUGCUGAAGGAGACCAAUAAAGGCUUAAAGGAAGUUUACCUGAGUAGGGAAGUAUCUGAUCACAUUGGCAGUGUUGCCUCUCCAAAGGGCCAGGACACCUUCGUCCUUGAUAGUUCGGGCAAAACAAUCAGUGAUUCCCUUGUAUCGUUCACUCAGGCGGCCAGCUUUAAUCAUCUCAUCUUGGUUCUGAAUUAAAAGUUUGACUCUCUCAAUUGGAGCAGCAGCAGUUUUUGACACAGCAGCAGAAACCCCUCCCAUGAGGAAAUCCACCAUAAAACUAGAAAAGCUUCUCUCAUUUGCAGCUGGUAUCACAAUUGGGGACAGUUGUGAAACAAUUUCGAGCCCAGAACCAUGAAAGGCUGACAUGAAAGGGCUACAAAGGCCACCAUUGGCAUAUCCAUAGACACUGGAAAAAUUUUGUGCACUAGCAUUUCUAGAAUGCAUAAAAGGAGAAAUUUGAGCAAAAAAAUAAGAUUGCCCAUGCAAUUUUUCAAGUACAGACGGAUGAUGC
rnacentral:lncRNA from 1 species